CAGAAUCUAGAACUCCAGAUCAGGGGUUCGGAAUUUGAGGAGUAAACUGCAGGACAUGUUAAAAUCGGGUGGAGAGUAGAAGAGAGGAAAGUAAUAAACGGAGGAAAUUGAAGAAAACAGGAGAGCUGCGUUUGGUGUAGCUAAUUAAAUCGGAAAGAGGUAGAGGACACAUCUAUGGGGAUUAUUUACUAAACGGUUAAAGGAGCAACUUUAAAUUGGGUCAGAGUAGUUGACUUAUUUCAGCUUUCAUCCUCAGUGUUGGACUUGUGUUAAUUCACCACAGCUUACAAUUUAGAGAAGGGGUUUUGGUUGCCAGACACUGAAUUGUAGUGAGUUGAAAACUGAAUUGCAAAAUGUAGGCCUAGUUUGGGAUUUUUCUCCAACUCCCUCUACAGUCUCAGCAAUGCAAUUUUAGCCUAAAUAUUACAAUUUUGUUUUCAUUUCACUGAUAUUCACUGUUUAGUGAAUGAACCCUGCAGUUCUACAAGGCUGCCAUUAAAAAUGUUAAACCUUCAUUCAAACCAAUUGGCCUGGCCUUUCCCCGGGAAACACACAAUUACACGCAGAUGCAUUUAGGGGUUUAUUUAAUAAAUGCAAAAUUGUGCUGAAUUGAAAACGAAAUUGGAAAAUUUAUGCUACAUAGCCAAGCUGGGACUAUAGCAGAGUCUAAUAUUUCUUUCAUAUCAGCUAUUUGAGCCUAAAUAUUGUAAUUCAGUGUUUAGUGAAUACUCCCAGUAUGUUAGUCAUUUAAAGGGAAACUAAAGUGCCAGAUAAACAGACUUGUUUUCCUGGCACUGUAGCUUCCUCCCCGUGUUACUUACCUCGGUCCAGCGCCCACGCUCCUACCCCAUUGGCGGGGGAAAGACCUAAUGUGCAUGCACGGCAAUGGCUGCGCUUGCAUUACUAUUUCCCCAUAGCAAAGCAUUAUGGGGGAGACCUAAUGUGCAUGUGCAGCAAUGACCGCGCUCGCAUUAGGAUUUCCCCCAUAAAAAGCAUUAUUCAAUGCUUUUCUAUGGGGAUUCCGGUCACACUGGGAGACCUCAUGCAUAGUGUGAGGAUGUCAAGCGUUGUUUAGGUGACCAAAAGUUGCCUAUCCACCUGAUAGUCCCUCUAGUGACUGCUGGUAGACAGCCACCAGAGGAGGAGUUAACCCUAGCAGGUAAUUAUUGCAGUUGAUAAAAACUACAUGCUUAGGGUCAAUGAGCUGAAGUGGUUUGGGUGCCUACAGUGUCCCUUUAAGUUACAAUGGUCAAAAUGUCAAAGUGAAUUUCCAAUUCACACUAGAAUAAAAUCUCAGAGUUAACUAUGUUUUUGUUUAGGUUAUUAUGGACUAAAAUAUGAAAUUCACUUUGAAUUCUCACUUUAGUGAAUGACAGUGACAGACACACACAGAUACAUAUUCACAUAAUCACUCAAAUAACAAGUCAUAAAACAAUCUCAGAUUAACACACAGACACACUGCUGGAUUUACAUAAGCAAAUAUGAAUUCCUAGACACAUGAUGACACAAAUUCAUACUCGUAGACAAAAAUUUACAGAUGGACAAUGCUAGAAACACAUACUCAUGGACAAAUGUUGAAAUUAAUAUAUUUUAACCACCUUGCCUAGCUAAUACCUGCAGAGCAGUGUUAAUUUGGGCAGCAAAUUUUUCUAUUUAGUUUUAGCCAUAGUCUUUUGACUUUAGUCGUAUAUUAGUCAUCUGAAUAGUUUAAGAUUUAGUCUAGUUUCAGUUGACUAAAUCGCCAGUAGAUUUUAGCCAACACAACUAAAAUCUAAUGUGUUUAGUUAAAGCCUCUAUCGGUCUCUUUUACCCCUUCCCCAGCCCUCUGUGUCUCUUUGUGUCCUCUCAGCCCCUCUAGGUGUUUCUCUCCAAAGCCCUGGUCUGUCAACCCCUCUGUGCAGUGUUAAUUUUGGCGGCAAAUUUCAAUUUAGUUUUAGUCCGUCUUUUGACUAAAAAACCAUUUAUUUUAGACAUAUUUUAGUCUUCUGAAUUGUUUUAGUUUUAGUCAACUAAAAUUGUAAGUUGACAAAAUUAAUACUGCUUCAGAGAAGCAUUCAUAACAUUGCAAGUGUUCCCUUCUCUCCAAUGUUAUUACUGCGAUGACAUCAUAUCCUUCAGGAGCUGAUGCAGUCUAAGGAAACAGUCUAGUAAUGGAACUGCUCACUUAUAGAGUUUCAGUGCAUUUCUCUUAGAGGACAUAUUUAUAUCUACCCAACCGGACUGCAGAGUAUUACAAUAACUUAAAGGAACACUAUAGUGUAUUCCUGACACUAUAGGUGUGAAAACACUGUUUAGGUUUAUGCCCCUCCCCUUUCCUCCUGUGAAAAAGAUAUUUUACUUACUCUUUACCCAUUCCCAGUGCCGCACAGGUCUUGUCACGGUUGGCCUAGUCCACACACUACCUCCUUGAAAGCACUGGGAGAUUAUAGCGCAUUCCCUGCAAAAUGCCGCACUAUGUCAGUCAGCAUCUCUAUGGAGAAAGUUUACUCUGAGCAGUGUUUACAUUAAAAAGCCUGCAAUGACAUACUAUACACACCGGAACUACAACAUUAAGCUGUACUUGUUCUGGUGACUAUAAUGUCAAUUUAAACACACCUAAGUGCUUGUCCAAGCACUUUACCUGCCUCUACAUUUUAAAGGGAUCUUUGAUCGAGACAGCUGAUAUCAUAUACAGAGUAAAAUAAUAAUAUUGGUGGGGCUAAUUAUGGAAUUUUAAAGUAUUGUAAGCUAAUUAUGGAAAUUUAAAGUAUUGUAAGCUAAUUUGAACAAGGCACUCUUCACCUCUUGCGUCUGUCACCUUUUUUUCUGUCAAUUACCAUUGUAUAAAUUACCGUUGUAUAAAGUGUAAAGGAGUGAAGAAACUAGAGACGCUGUAUAAAUGUUUAUAAUAAUAUAAUAAUAUUGAACAGGAUGGAAGAUGGAACAAUAGAUGAGUUCGAGUUUUGGCCUGUUUGUUAUCCUUUGGCAAUUGUCAGACAACUCCCAGGAUAAUAUUUUCCAAUGUAUCAUUUGUAUUCGUUCUUUCAUUUUAACAAAAAAAGUAAUACAUCAAAUACAAUAAAAUACAUACACAGAGCACGAAACAUAGUCACAUUGUUGUUAUUAUGUGCACAGUACCCACUUGCCGUGAUGAUCAUUUGACUCUACUCAUGAUAGCUCAAUGAGAUAUGCAUUGUACAAAUACCUCAAAUUACGUCAAUUAACUCUUCAAUCAGAGCCUAUAUCUACAUAAUUGUGACAUAAUUAAAGGGUAGAGCAUUCACUCAAGGAGAGGAAAAAACUAAGUCUGGGUGAAAAGCCUAGCAUCUCCCCUAUUGCUCUACAUUUACUAAUUAUGAUCGUGUUCCUGUGUAUAUUCCAACAUAAACUAUGAAACUUAACUCAAGGUGGGGUGGUUAAGGAAGGAUGGGGAGGUGGGGAAAACUUUAUUGGGGUAAGUACUCCUGCGUCACAUGUACUCCACAAUAAACGUAAGCUACGUCCUGUUUCUUGUUACACUUUCCCUAUACUCUAUCCAGUCCUGCCACAUUUGUUCAUGUGUGUUCUCAUAGUAACACGCUGGUUCUCCUAAAAUAGCAGUAGGAUGUUUGUCCAUUGAUAUAAUGUAGGUAAUUUUCAUUUGAAGGUAAUUUGACUGUUUUGGUAAUUUGAAGUUUUUUGGCCAACAAUUACCCUGCUUUAUUGCAAUGGAUAUAAUAUUUAGUUUUUAAAGCUCUCAUUUGUUUGCCUGUAUCCGCUAGGGCCAGGUGAUCUAGUUCAUUCCUUAUUUCAGCUAUUUGACUGCCAAGUGACUUAAGGGGCUUACAUUUUUUGGAGCUUCUAUUUGAGCUAAGUCCCGAAGGAGCCGCAACCAAGUCGCACACACUUUCUUUUUUACAGCUGGCCCCUAGUUUAAUUAAAGUACCCUUGAUGACCGCUUUCUGCGCCAACCAUAAGUAGAUUAGUAGACAUCCCAUCUCGUCCGUAUAUUGUGUGUCCAAUUGGAAGACCCAACCUGCUUGAAUUAGUAUAGAUACCCCUUUAGAUUUACUAGGUGAGUAUGCAUGAUACGCCUGUGGGUAACAUUUGGAUCGUAAGUUAGGGGGGUAUUGAGAGCAUAAGUGCGUCUCUUGUAAGCAGAUUACUGCUGCCUUGGACUUUCACAUCUCCUGGUACACAAACCUUCUUUUAUGCAGAUUAUUAAGUCCGUUAACAUUCAUAGAAAAUAUUCUAAAGGAUGUGUCCAUGACUUAUUAUUAAGUAGUAUCCUGUGUUCUUGUGUUUUGAUAUGCCAAUAGGAUUUUGGUUAAGCUAGAGCUGGAGAGGGCAUCCGCGGCCUGUGCAAAGGUUAUUAUUUGGCACUCCAGUUUGGGGGAAUAAGAGGCAACAUCACCAGAUCCUUGCUCUCCAUAAUUGCGUGUACAGUACAAAAAUCUCUGAAUCACAUUUGUCACACCUGGGAGGGGAAGGAAGUAGAUUAAGGGGAACAACCAUUGAAAAAGAAAAUAAAUAAAAACUAAAUAAAAAUAUUUACACUCCCUUUAUGAGAAGGGUAAUAUAGUGGCCAGACCAGGGAGCCAAGUGUUCCCUGUAUAGGCCUGCAGGGGUGAGUAGAGAGGCCCACUCAUGGCGAGGCCCUGGAUAGCAGAACUUGUAAUGUAAGAACCUCCACUUAGUGUUAAUUCUACAAUAUUACCGUAAGACCACACCAUUAAUUAGGUAAAAGUAAUGCGCUAGUCAUUAAUAAACCACUCAGGUGAUCUAGAACCUCUGCUGUUCAGGUUAGUGCCUGUCCUGUAGAAUAGCCUAAACAUUUUUUAUUUAUUUUUUCCAUUUCAUAUAUAUAUAUAUACACACACAUAUAUAUACACACACAUAUAUAUACACACACACACUCCCCUCCCUUUUUCAUUUUAGGUUAUUAUCAGCAUAGCUCACUAUGUUAGAGGGAGGUUUACUACCAACCAAGCGUGCAACAGUAGGUGCAUCCCUGAUGUACCAAAGUAAUCAGAUGCUUAUAGCACAAAGCGUAAAAGACACUGGGAUGGACACCGGAAGGUAUACUAGAUCUAUGGCUUCAACUAGGGGUUCAAGUUGAUUGUCAGCAAGGGUCACUCCGGGUGUCAGUAGGUUCCCUCAUUUCACUGGCACUGUAGUUCCCUGUUUAGGCAGAUUCAUUGAGUAGCUUGCCCCAUGACCCGGCAAUGUUGUCAGACCCCAUUCAUUCAGCUUCUUGAUUCCAUCCUCUGGUUCCAGGAUAGAGUGUAAUCCAUUGCGCCAAAUAUUUGUAAAUAAUGUGAACAUCCAUGGGAAUUGCUAUUCAAUAGCUAGAGUCAAAGUCUGAGUCAGUCUUUGACCGAAUUUGACUUACUCAGUCCAGUAACAGAAGCCAGCUCUUUUACAAAACAGAGGGACAAUGUCCUUGAUAAUUAAGGAAACAGUUGAAAACAAUCUCUGUUGUUUGUAAAUUAAUUCAGAGACAGCGGCGUACAUACCGAGGUCGCAGGGGUUGCGGCUAUGAGCCCCGAGGCUGGCCCUGGUGUCACUGGGUGGGCGGGCUGGUGGGCAGGCGCGUGCGCGAGGGAGCACUCUCCCCUGAGCGCUCUCUGCCCAGCUCCCGCGCGCGCUGCUUACUUAUGCCGGAGCAUGGCGUCAAAUUCUGGCUCCGGCAUCAGUAAGCGGCACGCCAGCCCGAUGACACCACUGGACCCCAGGGAAGCCCCUCAGCACUCCCAAAAGGUAGGGAGGCUGGGGGAUCAGAUUUUUGUUUUUAAAAACAUGUGUGUGUGUUAGUGUUAGUUUUUGUGUCAGUGUGUUUGUUACUGUGUGUGUUAGUUUGUGUGUGUCUGUUAGUGAGUCUGUUUGGUGUCAGUGAGUGUGUGUCAGUGAGUGUAUGUUUUGUAAGUGAGUGUGUAUGUGUGUCUCUGUCAGUGAGUGUGUCUCUGUCAGUAAAUGUGUGUGUCUGUUAGCUAGUGUGUAUGCAUCUGUUGUGUGUGUGUGUUUAAAACCCCUUCAGCACUUACCUUUCUCCAGCGCCGGACUCCCUUGGCGCUGGGGAUCCCUCCGCACCGAUCCACCUCUCAGCUACUCAGUGCUUUCCUAUGGACGUCCAGCGUCUUCUCACUAUGAUUUUCACAGUGAGAAUCGCGGAAGCGCCUCUAGCGGCUGUCAGUGAGACAGCCACUAGAGGCUGGAUUAACCCUAGUGUUAACAUAGCAGUUUCUCUGAAACUGCUAUGUUUUCAGCUUCAGGGUUAAAACUAGAUGGACAUGGCACCCAGACCACUUCAUUGAGCUCAUGGGAUCUGGGUGUCUGUAAUGGUCCUUUAAGUGUAUGUGUAUCUGUAUCUGUGGGGGGGGGCACGGAUCAAUUUUUGCAACAGGGCCCCAUGGGUCGUGUGUAAGCCACUGUUCAGAGAUAUUCACUGUACUUGAUAUUUUCAGCAACUAACAAGGGAAUUUCAAACUACAGGCCAAAAUAGUCUAAUUGAAAACUAGGUUAUUUUUAUCGCAUGACCUCUUUUAGUAUAAAUUUUGAAAUUCUCUAGUUACCUCCUGACAUUGCCAGUUUGGAGUACAACUCUUUCAAUUUUACCCAGUUUUUAUACCAAGAUUGUCUCACGUUAACGUGACUAAAAUGUUCUAAUAUUCAGGAGAAAUGGCAAAACAAAUAAAGUUGACAUGCUUUAUUUUUUUACUAUACAGGUACCAUGUUAGCCUUGUGGCUAACUAACAAUCCGGUUAGUCGGGCGGCGCUGGCGAGGGAGCACUUUCCCCUGAGCGCUCUGCUCAGCUCCCUCGCUCGCCGCAGUGUGAUGCCAGGAGCCGGAAUAUGAUGUCAUAUUCUGGCUCCCAGCAUCACUCUGCGGCGCGCAAGGGAGCUGAGCAGAGCGCUUAGCGUAAAGUGCUCCAUUGCCAGCGCUUCCUGACCGACCGCCCCACUAGACUCCAGGGAGAGGGAGAAUCCCACCCCCCCAGCAUUCCCAAAGGCAAGGAGGCUGCGUGGGUUAAAUAAAAUAAAAAUAAAAAAGUGUGUGUUAAUGUGAGUGAGUGUCUGUGUAACAGUCACCUGGGGACUUGUGUAACAGUUUAACAGGAGUUGGAGCCCAGUUGCAGGAGAUGGCACAAGUAGGAGGCAAAAUCCAAAGACACAGUAUAGAUAAAGGGAAAUCCAAAGGCAGGGUCAGACGAGAAGCAGAAGUCAGGGCUGGCAGCGCAGUAACAAAGUCGGUAAAUCAGGCAGAGUCUAGGAAAUCAGUCAGUAGCGAAGCUUAGAGCCGGCAGGAAACACCAAACAGGCAAAAUGACCAGAACCUAGGUUUCAGGCAGCUAAUUAAUUAAAGGCAGCUGACCCUAAUUGGAAAAGGGCUGCAGGUGGAUCAGCACUGCUUAAUCCAGGCAAGGGGUCAGAAAGCAGAAGAAUGCAAACAAAAACUGAAGCCCCCUGGUGGAUAUCAUAGUAGAGAACCUACUUUGCUGUCUGCAGGGCUCAGGCUGUGCCGUGACAGAGCCCCCCACAAGGAGCAACCUCUGGGGGCGAACAGACAUGGCUUCAACUAGUCCAAUUCAGGUUCAGACAGGAAAUCGAGGUCUGUAUAGGCAUAAGAAUCCAAGAGUGUUGGAAUAUUUUGCAGGUUGUUCUUCUUCGUGGAGGCAAGGAGGCGAGAAGGGAAUGCAGCUCUGGCCUUAAGAGACUGUUCAAAGAUCUUGCCUGCGGACCACGGUUCCAUUGGAGGCAAUUACACAGUCUAGGGACAGAUCCUCUGUGUUGGAGCAGGAAUCUUUAGGGGAGACAGAAGCGGAGGAUUGGAAGGUAGCCACAGUAGCCUCCUUUUGAGGCUCUGGAACAGGAGCAGGGUUAGCUGGGACCAUGAUGGUGCCAUUGGUCUGGUUAGGUGGUCUUUUUGGUCCAGUAGCAUGCAGAGUUGAACAAAAAAGGGGCCAUGAAGGACUUGCUGGUUGGUGAUACAGAGCCUCCACAUGGCUUUAUUUAGGGCGAGGAGGACGUGUGUCUGUUAGUGAGUGAGUGUGUGUGUGUGUGUCAGUGAGUGUGUAUGUCUGUUAGCUAGUGUAUGCGUGUGUGUGUAUUUAGACGGCGGGGAAGGGUGGGGUGGGGGCGUCUGAGUUUUGUCCUGCCUAGUGCAGCACAAAACCAGGAUACACCACUGCCCUGACCCACUCUGUAGUGAAGCUGAGAGCAGCAUUAAAAUAUGGGAGAAUGGUAGAUCCCAUAUUCUCCGCUUCGUCGAUCUUAUUUGUGGUGGAUAAUACAAACUGUUAAUGUCCGUAAGCAGGAUAACUGACCAUAUUUAACUAUCUGUUUUUAUCAGUCCCUUUCUAAAAUAUAGCAAGAUAAGUAAAACCAUAUUUUUUAACCAUUUUCUCUCUGUUUUUUCUAUAAAGUGUGAACAAACAAAUGAAUAAGCAUGUCCUGCAGAUGAUCAUAUUUGUAAAUAAACAAAACCAAAUACCAUAUCAAUAAACAACACAAAUACCAUAUAAUAAAUAAUAACUGACACCAUUUAACAUUGGAAAGGAGGGUAAUUAGAGGCAUUACAAAACACUUUAAAACUAAUUCCAUAACCAUUUCACCAAAAUGAAACUUAACAAUUUGCCCUUGAACCAGGAAGAUUGCUUAAACCUUAAAGGACCACUAUAGUGCCAGGAAAACAUACUCGUUUUCCUGGCACUAUAGUGCCCUGAGGGUGCCCCCACCCUCAGGGUCCCACUCCCGCCAGGCUCUGGGGAGAGGAAGGGGUUAAACUUACCUCUUUUUCCAGUGCCGGGUGGGGGACUCUCCUUCUCCUCUCCUCCUCCUUCUCGUCGUCAUUGGCUGAAUGCACAUGCACGGCAAGAGCCGCGCGCAUUCAGCCAGUCCAUAGGAAAACAUUCUCAAUGCUUUACUAUGGACACUGGCGUCUUCUCACUGUGAAAAUCACAAUGAGAAGCGCGGAAGCGCCUCUAGCGGCUGUCAAUGAGACAGCCACUGGAGGCUGGAUUAACCUUAACAUAAACAUAGCAGUUUCUCUGCUAUGUUUAUAGAAGAAAGGGUUAAUCCUAGCUGGACCUGGCACCCAGACCACUUCAUUAAGCUUAAGUGGUCUGGGUGCCUAUAGUGGACCUUUAAGCCUCAUUCCACCUCAUAUAUGAGGCGACCUCACCCCAAUCUCCCAGCCUACGACACUAAAAUGAAAUAAAAGGGUUGGAUGGGAAGCUCAAAACUUCUCCCUCUUGUUCUGUAAGUCCCUUGGAUCGUGAAGCCCACGCAAUUCAAAUUUGGUAUAUAUAAACUAGUCCUAAAUAGCGCGUGCCACUUGCUUCAAUCCUGACCAAUCAGGGCCUACCAUUUUCCUACCUCUGCGCAUCUUAAACCCACAAAAAAACUAAUGAGAAUAUCCUAAUUUUAAACUGUUGUAAACCAGAUCUAGCCAGUGAACCCCCUAGCUUAACUAACCCCUGACCUUUAGCUGACCCUAAACCUAUUGCCCUAUGCUCCCUACAGGACAUCUCCUAUCUCCAGCGCUUCUCUAUGUCCUUCAGAUGAUUAUAUUUGUAAAUAAACAAAACUAAAUACCAUAUCAAUAAACAACACAAAUGCCAAAUUGUGGUGGAAUCUCGGUAAAAAUAAAUUUAGUAGGCCGAGAUUACCACGUGGCAUGUGUACGUGCAUAUGCUGACGUAUCGAUCAGUAGUGUACGGAGCAUGUGCAAGAAUACAGGAUGUAGUAUUCCCCUCCUCCAUUGUGCUGGACAAGCCAUGCGGUCAAGCAGGAAGUUAAUUCUUAUUUGUAAUGAUUGGUCAAGAGAAUGUGCGGGUGGAGCUUAAUAUGGGAGGAGUUAUGUGCCUAUAUAGGGAGCCUGCACUAUUGUUCAGGGCUCAGAACUUGCUGUAUUUUUGGUGACAUUGUCCCUCUGAGUCCCGAUCGGUGAUCCAAUAAAGAAUCUCUUCCUUCCUGAAGAAACCUGUGUCCAUCCCUCUGUGCUUUGCUUCCGUCAGUUUCUCCGGUAUCAUUUGGUGCAUUGGCCGGGAAGCUCAUCGUUCAACGGUAGCUGAGAGGCAGAGGCGUGAGACGGUCUAUCUUUGCCCACGUUCUCUACGGCUGCACCCCUGAACUUCUGCGUGGACCUCCCUUCGUCUCGGCGCCACUGGUCUGUUGUCCAGGAGAUCAUCGGCCUCUACGUAAGAAGUGCUGGGGUGUCCCCGUCGAUGAGUGUGAACUCAGGUUCAGGAACGAGGAGGUAAGACAACUGCUGUUUUAGACGGCAGACCCACUAGGGGUAUACCGAUUGUGCGGUAGGCCCAAAAGGGGUUUAAAUCUGUGUAUGGAAUCUGCCCCCUCUGUCGGAGGGAAGGAGCGAAGGCGCACCGCUCGAUCGAACGCUCUUUAGUAAGACCGUUUGAUCUGGUUAGUCAGGCGGGGUCCUGUGUAAAUAGCCCUAGCCGGACACCGGUGUCUUGUCUAGACUAGCGUUCUAGGGUGUAUAUUACGUUCGCUAGGUCGGAGGGACCGGGAGACUAAGCGGCGCCUGUGUAAAUUCGGUUCGCUAGCUCUCAACCUAUCUUGGCUAAGUGGGAAGGCGUGUAAAUUUGGAACCCACUAGACUUUUGAUAGAGUAAAUAGACUAGAAGGGCAAUUUUGUAAAUUUCGCCCUCUAGUUCGCUAUAUGUGGUGUUUGGGCAGUGUGGCUAACCAAAACGGGUGUAUAUAGUUUUAGGUAGUCCAUUCAAGGUACUGGCCAAUAGUUUAGUUGGGAUUGUAAAUGUGUUAAAGAUUGUUAGUAAAGUGUAUAUCUUGUUAGAUAGCGCGAGCUCAGCCGUCUAGCGAGAGUGUUAAUAGUGUGUUGCUGUAUCAUAGUGCACGGUACCAUAACCCUGUAUAUUUACUGACACUGUAUAUAAGUACUAAUCAUUGUCGUCUAUUGCAUGUUUAACACCGUAACCACUAAUAAUUGUAUUGUGACCUUAAAUUGUGCUUUGACCUAUGCUAACCAUACUGUAACCGAUACUAGUAAAAGACGAUGUUACUGGGGUGUGUUAUAGACGGGUAAUUCAUAUAUAGAGAAUUAUAGCGUGGGUGACUGUAUAGUUUCGCCAAAGGGCAUAAUAUUGAUUAUUUAGUGACUGGUGUAACAGCUGUGUGUGUACGGGAAUUCCCUGAGUGAUUAUUGUGUUAUUGUGUACGUUUCACUCGGUAACUGUACCACGUGGUGCUGUUGCCAGAGGAAACGGGUGUGACUGUUGAAUAAGAACGCGUGCAUAGUAUUCGUUGUCAACGACGUUCCAUUGAUAAGUAUGGGCGCGUCAGAGUCAACGAUUUCGGAUCCCUUAGGUUGUAUGGUAAAGAAUUUUAAAAAGGGAUUCAAAACAUGUGAUUUUGGGGUUAAAAUGUCUCCUGUACGUUUGGUCACUUUGUGCACUAGGGAGUGGCCUAUUUUGGUUGCGGCAUGGCCGCCGCGUGGCAGUUUGGAUCCAACCCUGGUACAGCGUGUACACGUGGCUGUUUCAGGUAGGCCUGAACUUUACGGACAGUUUCCAUACAUUGAUUGUUGGGGGCAGGCCGUAAACGACUCGCCAAAAUGGAUCCGGAUAUGCCACGAGGAGCAAUGUCGCCUCAUGGUGGCCAGGACUUGUUUGUCCACUAGGACUGGUGUUAGGCCCAUUUUGGACACGCCCCCUGAGUCCGAGAUCCCUUUGCCGCCCCCUUACUUUCCUUUAAGAGGAAGUGACGCGAAUGCAGGAAGCUCUGCACCCCUUCCCCUAUUGCCCCCAUCCACUUCCGCUUCCUCCUCCAGUACAGAAUCCACCCCCCCUCGUAUUAAAACUCCCCUUCCGGAACCAGGACCAACCCCCAUUAGAUUUGAAUAUCCUGAUUUGGCGCCACUUCAAACUUCCGGUCAAGCUUCUUCUAGCUCGGCUCGGAGUAUACUAUUCACUAACUUUUCCCAAAAUCAAGUUCCCACAUCCUCAUGCCCUAUUACCUCUCGACCGGAACCUUUAACUGACGCCCCUCCACGUAGCCCCAUACUAACCCGACAACUGACCGGUACCCAACAAUUAAAACAUUAUCAGAUGCCUCUUCGUCUGAAUCCUGGGUCAGCCUAUAUCGAUGCCGCAGGUCAAAUGGCACAUGCUGACCCAGUCUUCGUAUAUGUCCCGUUCACGACUACCGAUCUCUUGAAUUGGAAGACCCACAAUUCCUCGUACACUGAGAAACCACAAGCUAUGACCGAUCUGUUCACCUCGAUAGUUCAGACACAUAACCCGACAUGGGCUGAUUGCCAGCAGUUAUUAAUGACAUUGUUCAAUAAUGAGGAAGGACAAGGAUUAACCAAGCGGCCAUUAAGGCGCUAGAGGAGAGAGCCCGUGCUUUAAAUCAAGCCAAUCCGGCAGCAUGGGCCGCAACACAUUACCCUAACACCGAUCCUGACUGGAAUGUAAAUGGCGCAGAUAUGGCUCAACUUAAAGCCUAUAGAGAUGCUAUAAUUGCUGGCAUGAAAGCCGGAGGGAAGAAAGCUAUUAACAUGUCGAAGACAGUUGAGGUGAUUCAGAAAAGUGAUGAAGCGCCCAGUGUCUUUUAUGACCGAUUAUUGGAGGCAUACCGCUUGUAUACCCCCUUUAAUCCGGAAGACGCUGAUAAUUCCCGAAUGGUAAACUCCGCCUUUGUCAGCCAAGCUUACGGAGAUAUUAAGCGCAAGCUACAGAAAUUAGAAGGGUUUGCAGGUAUGUCUAUCACCCAACUAAUGGAGGUAGCGAACAAAGUAUAUAUGAAUAGGGAAACAGAAAGUAAGAAAGAGGAAGAGCGCAAGAUGCGUAGAAAGGCAGAUAUGCUAGCGGUAGCGAUCGCAGGCGUAGAUAGACGGGGCCCAGAUAGAGGCGAUGGUAGAUGGAAUAGGGAGCCUUUGAGUAGGAAUCAGUGCGCGUACUGUAAGGAAGAAGGGCAUUGGAGGAACGAGUGUCCGCAAAGAGAGCAGUAUGAGAGAGACUUACCCAGGGCAGGUUACGGAAACUUUAGAGGCAGAGCGAGAGGUAGAGGAGGCCCCGGAGGGAGUAAUGGUAAUAGAGGGAGUAAUGGGAACAGAGGAAGUGUAAGGGAAGAUAGGUACUAUCCAGCAGCGCAAAGGUCCCGCGAUAGAGAAGGUAGGGACUUUGUGGGAUUGGCUGACACGGUCAUGGAGGACUAUUGAUACCGACCGGGCUCCAUCCCCCUUGGUCGAGCGGAGCCUAUGGUCGAUGUAUCAAUAGGGGGAAAAAGGAGUGCGUUUAUGAUCGACACUGGUGCUGAACAUUCGGUGGUGACUAAUCAAGUUGCUCCUCCAUCUGGAAGAACUAUUACUGUAAUAGGAGCAACUGGAAGAAGUGCUGAAAAACCGGUUCUUAAAAGUCGACUCUGUACAUUGGGAGGCCACGUAGUAAAACAUCAAUUCCUUUAUAUGCCUGAGUGUCCAGUCCAAUUGCUGGGACGUGAUAUGCUAUCCAAAUUACAAGCGCAGAUUACGUUCCUACCAAAUGGAACAACAUCCUUAAAGUUUAAUGGACCCUCAGGUAUUAUGACAUUGUCCGUACCAAAGGAAGAAGAGUGGCGACUUUAUACAGUGUUGACUAGCCAAAACCCGAGGAGUGAUGAAUCCUUAUUUAACAUACCAGGAGUUUGGGCAGAGAACAACCCACCAGGACUGGCCCGCAAUAUUCCACCUAUUAAAAUCGAACUAAAACUUGGGGUUUAUCCAGUAAGCCUGAGACAAUAUCAUAUUCCGCAGAAGGCUAAGAAGAACAUCCAAUCUUAUCUGGAUAAGUUCAUACGGUAUGGUAUCCUAAAAUUCUGUACUUCCCCCUGGAACACCCCAUUGCUGCCUGUUCAAAAGCCCGGUACAGAUGAGUAUCGACCUGUGCAGGACUUGAGAGCAGUCAAUGAUGCGGUUGUUAGUAUACAUCCAGUCGUGCCCAAUCCAUAUAACCUACUUGCUUUAAUUCCGGGCGGGGCUACUUACUUUACAGUCUUAGAUCUCAAAGAUGCCUUCUUUUGCCUCCGAAUUGCCGCAGAAAGCCAAUGUAUCUUCGCUUUCCAAUGGGAAAAUGCUGUAACGGGCUCGAAACGCCAAAUGACCUGGACAAGAUUGCCCCAGGGGUUUAAAAAUUCACCUACCCUAUUUGGUUCAGCUCUAAGUCAAGAUCUACUAGAUUUCGAGUCUAUCCCAGGAGAGUGUGUAUUAUUACAAUAUGUAGAUGACUUGUUGAUAGCAGCAGUUACAAAGGAAGUAUGUCAGCAAGCAACGCACGAUCUACUACACAUUCUCUGGAAGGCAGGAUACAAGGUGUCAAGAAGGAAGGCUCAGUUGUGUUUGCCAACUGUCAAAUAUCUGGGAUUCCAUAUCUCUGAAGGUCAAAGAAUUAUGGGGCCAGAGAGAAAAGAAGCUGUGUGCCAAAUACCGAUACCCAGGAAUAGAAGACAAGUGCGAGAAUUCUUGGGGGCAGCAGGCUUCUGUAGGAUAUGGAUUCCCAGCUACGCGAUACUGGCAAAACCUCUGUAUGCAGCUAUCAAAGGUACAGAGCACGACCCCUUCUUAUGGACUCAAGAACAGCAAACGGCAUUCGAAGAUGUGAAGAGGGCUUUGAUGAGUGCCCCAGCAUUAGGUCUACCUGACCACACACGGCCAUUCUACCUGUAUGUACAUGAGCAAAGAAGAAUGGCUGUGGGAGUAUUGACACAGUACUUGGGAUCAUGGCAAAGACCUGUUGCCUACAUGUCUAAGCAACUGGAUGCAGUGGCCAGCGGACUUCCACCUUGUCUAAGAGCUGUAGCUGCAGCCGCCCUGCUAGUAGCUGAAGCCGAUAAACUCACUCUGGGUCAAGAACUUUAUGUACGAGUUCCACAUGCAGUACAGACGUUGUUGGAUUACAAAGGAAAUCAUUGGUUUAGUAACAGCCGUAUGACCAAGUAUCAAGCAAUGUUGUGUGAAAACCCAAGAGUGCAUUUAGAGACUGUAAAUACCUUAAAUCCAGCUACCCUUUUGCCACAACCUACUGAAAGUCAACAUGAUUGUUUGGAAGUAAUGGAUGAAGUAUUUUCAAGUAGACCAGAUCUUCGUGAUUUUCCCAUCCAGAACCCUGAUGUUCAAUAUUACACCGACGGCAGUAGUUAUGUAAAAGAAGGGAUCCGCUAUGCAGGAUAUGCAGUAACAACGAUAGACAAGGUGAUAGAAGCUCGGCCACUGGCAAAAGGAACAUCAGCACAAAAGGCAGAAUUGAUAGCACUGACACGAGCGUUACAAUUGGCUGAAGGUUUAAGAGUGAACAUCUACACGGACUCCAAGUAUGCGUUUUUAACCACUCAUGCCCACGGAGCUUUGUAUAAAGAAAGAGGACUAUUGAAUUCAGAAGGCAAAGAAAUCAAAUACGCAGCUGAGAUCCUACAACUAUUGGAAGCAGUGUGGGAGCCGAAAGAAGUCGGUAUUAUACAUUGUCGGGCGCAUCUGAGAGGAGAUGGUGAUGUAACCAAAGGGAAUCGGAUGGCAGAUAGUGCAGCUAAGCGUGCUGCUGAAUCAGGAAGACAGGAAUAUGUGGGGCAUAUAGCUGCUCUUAUACCAACUCCACUGUCUCAAUGGACUCCAAUUUAUACAGCUCAAGAAGAGGAGUGGUUAAGGACUGAACCUGGAAAGUAUUUGGAGAACAAAUGGUAUCAGUUAGAAGAUGGAAGAAUAGUUAUUCCAGCAUCACUAGCGGUAGAAAUUGUCCAAAACUAUCAUAACGGGACACAUUCUGGGAGAGACAGUACAGAAGAAUCUCUCAGAAAACAUUUCUACAUACCAAGAUUGUCCAACUUGACUCAGGCCAUUGUACGUAGAUGUGUAGCGUGUGCUAAAAAUAAUGCAAGACAAGGACCAGUAAAGCCACCAGGAGUCCAGUUUAUGGGGGGACUUCCCAUGUCCGAUUUACAAAUUGACUAUACAGUGAUGCCUAAAUCGGGUGGACAUCGCUACCUGCUGGUAGUGGUGUGCACCUAUUCAGGCUGGGUAGAAGCAUGUCCUACUCGUACAGAGAAAGCAGGAGAAGUCGUGAGAUUCCUGCUACGAGAAAUAAUACCCGAUAUGGACUACCCUGCUCUAUAGGAUCGGACAAUGGUCCAGCUUUUGUUCAUCAGUGCCUACAACAAUUGACUCAUAUGCUUGGUAUAAAGUGGAGGCUUCAUACGGCAUAUAGACCCCAGAGUUCUGGUAAGGUAGAGAGAAUGAAUAGAACUAUUAAGAAUCAGUUGGCUAAAAUGUGUCAGGAAACCCAACUUAAGUGGAACGUUCUCUUGCCCAUAGCUCUAUUGCGAAUCCGUAGUACACCUACCAGAAGGAUGGGCCUCUCUCCUUUUGAAAUCAUGUACGGGCGACCACCUCCCGUGCUUGGUAACUUAAGGGGGGAUUUGAGUCAGUUGGGAGAAGGAAUUACCCGGCAGCAGGUUGUAGAGUUGGGUAAGACUAUGGAGGAGGUACAGAAAUGGGUACAAGAUAGAUUACCUGUGAAUAUUUAUCCCCCAAUUCAUAGUUACCACCCAGGCGACCAAGUGUGGAUUAAAGAGUGGAAUAAUGUGCCGUUAGGGCCCAAGUGGAGAGGUCCUUAUGUUGUUCUUCUGUCUACCCCUACAGCGAUAAAAGUAGCCGAAGUGGCUCCGUGGAUACAUCACUCCAGGGUUAAACCAGCAGCAGCCGAUUCCUGGCAAGUUACAGCAAAUCCAGAGAAUCCCUGCAAGAUCCGGUUAAAACGCACGACUCAGUCGGAGUGACGAGGAACCUUGUAGAUUACAAAUUUUAUUGUUUCAGAGACUUGGUAAGUGAGUGAGAAGGCCAUAAUAAAGCCUGUCCACUCACCAACGAGUGUAUAAGUCAGGGAAAGUCUUGAGGGGACCCCUGUGAAGGCGAGCAGAACUCCAUUCCCUGCAGUCCUUACAUCCUGGAAGCUGAGGUGCCUUCACACGGACGAAGACUGAGGAUGACGACGAAAGAUGUAUUUUUAAUAAUGUUUAUUUAUGUGUAUUUUUAUAUUCAGGAAGGUAGAGGUACCAACACUCCUAGCUGUGAGGUAUGCAUUAAGACUACAAGAACAGGUAACCAUAUAUCCCAGACCCUAAUUUGGCAUUCGCAAUAUGAGUGUAAAGGAGAUGUAUCAAGAUGUAGAUACUUAAAUAUAGAAUAUAGUGUGUGUCAUUUAGGAGUAGGAGAACCUAAGUGCUUCAGUCCUGAGUAUCAACCCCGUACAAUUUGGUUGACUCUCAGAAAUGGAGAUUCUCAGGGGACCCUAAUUAAUAAGACGGUAUUAAAAUCCGUAUAUUCUUCAGGUGCUCUGCUAUUUGAUGCGUGUAAAGCAAUAUCAAGUGGUAGAAAGCCGUGGAAUGUAUGUGGGGAUCUUAGAUGGGAGAGGACGUAUGGGUCUAACGAUAAAUAUAUUUGUCCCAGUAGUAAAAAUAAAUAUGUAAGUCCAAGAUGCCCAAAUAGAGAUUAUAACUUCUGCCCAUAUUGGUCUUGUGUGGGGUGGGCGACUUGGGGACAGACAGCAGACAAGGACAUGAUUGUGACUAAGUUGCCUACUAAUCCAUAUUGUAAGUCUAUGGAAUGCAAUCCAAUCCAUAUACUUAUAAAUAACCCUGACAAGUUCUUAGAUAAAUAUGGUAAUUUAUUUGGGUUUCAAAUAUAUGGGACGGGUUUAGACCCUGGGACAAUAUUGUUUAUAGGGAUAGAGACUGAUACGGUAACCUCCCAAACUCAUCAAGUAUACCAUUCCUUUUAUGAAGAGAUGAGCAUAGAUAAUAAGAUCCCCCAUAAUGCUAAAAACUUGUUCAUUGAUUUAGCCGAGAGUAUUGCCGGUAGUCUUAAUGUUACCAACUGCUAUGUGUGUGGAGGUACUAACAUGGGAGACCAAUGGCCUUGGGAAGCAAAGGAGGUAAUGUCCGGUUCUGAGGCAGUUGACCAAUUAAUAUCUACACAAGCCGACUAUCAUAUGAGUGUUAGAGGUAAAUCUGAGUGGAGAUUGAAGACCUCCAUCAUAGGUUAUGUUUGCAUAGCGAGGAAAGGAAUGAUGUAUAAUACUUCUGUAGGAGAAUUAACUUGUCUAGGGCAAAAAGCUUAUGAUGAUGAUACAAAGAAUACAACUUGGUGGUCGGCUUCAAAUGUCUCAGAACCAUCUAACCCGUUUGCAAGAUAUGCCAAUUUAAAGGACGUAUGGUUUGAUCUAUCCAUCACAUCUAACUGGAGAGCCCCAGCGAAUUUGUACUGGAUCUGUGGUAAGAAGGCCUAUUCGGAGUUACCACAGGACUGGGAAGGGGCAUGUGUGUUGGGUAUGUUAAAACCAUCCUUCUUCUUGUUGCCUAUUGAAACAGGUGAGACUUUAGGUGUUAAAGUGUAUGAUGUGAAUCAUAGGAAGAAAAAGGGACCCAUAGAGAUAGGUGCCUGGGAAGAUAAUGAAUGGCCUCCCCAGCGUAUUAUAGAUUAUUAUGGGCCAGCCACGUGGGCAGAGGAUGGUACCUUUGGAUAUAGAACCCCUAUUUAUAUGCUCAACCGCAUUAUAAGGUUACAGGCGGUGGUUGAGAUCAUUACUAACGAGACAUCACAAGCGCUCAAUCUUCUAGCGAAGCAUAAUACCAGGAUGAGGACAGCAGUUUACCAAAAUAGAUUAGCUUUGGAUUAUCUUUUGGCAGUAGAGGGAGGUGUAUGUGGGAAGUUUAACCUGAGCAAUUGCUGUCUUCAAAUAGAUGACGAAGGGCAAGCAAUAGCUGAGCUUACUAGCCAUAUGGUUAAACUAGCGCAUGUGCCUACUCAGGUAUGGAAGGGGUACAAUCCAAGUAGUUGGUUUGGUAGCUGGUAUGAGUGGUUUGGAGGGCUUAAGGCAGUGGUAGGUGGAGUCCUACUGAUUUUAAUGUUGUGUCUACUCCUGCCGUGUCUUAUACCCUUAGUAGUUAGGUCUGUGCAAAGCCUGAUAGAAAAUAUAGCAGAGAGGAAGGCUGCUGCACAGAUAAUAGCAAUUUAUAAAUAUAAGGCUCUAGAUCAGGUAGAACUAAUGCAGGAAGACGAGUGUUGAAGAUUCACAUCAUAGGAUAAGUCUGGUCUGGUUCAAAGGUAACUUGUGGUGUAUGCAAACCAAGGUUAAGUGAUACCUCAAGUAAUUGUAAAAUAUCAAGAGGCAUCAAAGGGGGGAAUGUGGUGGAAUCUCGGUAAAAAUAAAUUUAGUAGGCCGAGAUUACCACGUGGCAUGUGUACGUGCAUAUGCUGACGUAUCGAUCAGUAGUGUACGGAGCAUGUGCAAGAAUACAGGAUGUAGUAUUCCCCUCCUCCAUUGUGCUGGNNNNNNNNNNNNNNNNNNNNNNNNNNNNNNNNNNNNNNNNNNNNNNNNNNNNNNNNNNNNNNNNNNNNNNNNNNNNNNNNNNNNNNNNNNNNNNNNNNNNCAUUAGUCCCUCUGAGUCUCGAUCGGUGAUCCAAUAAAGAAUCUCUUCCUUCCUGAAGAAACCUGUGUCCAUCCCUCUGUGCUUUGCUUCCGUCAGUUUCUCCGGUAUCAUUUGGUGCAUUGGCCGGGAAGCUCAUCGUUCAACGGUAGCUGAGAGGCAGAGGCGCGAGACGGUCUAUCUUUGCCCACGUUCUCUACGGCUGCACCCCUGAACUUCUGCGUGGACCUCCCUUCGUCUCGGCGCCACUGGUCUGUUGUCCAGGAGAUCAUCGGCCUCUACGUAAGAAGUGCUGGGGUGUCCCCGCCGAUGAGUGUGAACUCAGGUUCAGGAACGAGGAGGUAAGACAACUGCUGUUUUAGACGGCAGACCCACUAGGGGUAUACCGAUUGUGCGGUAGGCCCAAAAGGGGUUUAAAUCUGUGUAUGGAAUCUGCCCCCUCUGUCGGAGGGAAGGAGCGAAGGCGCACCGCUCGAUCGAACGCUCUUUAGUAAGACCGCUUGAUCUGGUUAGUCAGGCGGGGUCCUGUGUAAAUAGCCCUAGCCGGACACCGGUGUCUUGUCUAGACUAGCGUUCUAGGGUGUAUAUUACGUUCGCUAGGUCGGAGGGACCGGGAGACUAAGCGGCGCCUGUGUAAAUUCGGUUCGCUAGCUCUCAACCUAUCUUGGCUAAGUGGGAAGGCGUGUAAAUUUGGAACCCACUAGACUUUUGAUAGAGUAAAUAGACUAGAAGGGCAAUUUUGUAAAUUUCGCCCUCUAGUUCGCUAUAUGUGGUGCUUGGGCAGUGUGGCUAACCAAAACGGGUGUAUAUAGUUUUAGGUAGUCCAUUCAAGGUACUGGCCAAUAGUUUAGUUGGGAUUGUAAAUGUGUUAAAGAUUGUUAGUAAAGUGUAUAUCUUGUUAGAUAGCGCGAGCUCAGCCGUCUAGCGAGAGUGUUAAUAGUGUGUUGCUGUAUCAUAGUGCACGGUACCAUAACCCUGUAUAUUUACUGACACUGUAUAUAAGUACUAAUCAUUGUCGUCUAUUGCAUGUUUAACACCGUAACCACUAAUAAUUGUAUUGUGACCUUAAAUUGUGCUUUGACCUAUGCUAACCGUACUGUAACCGAUACUAGUAAAAGACGAUGUUACUGGGGUGUGUUAUAGACGGGUAAUUCAUAUAUAGAGAAUUAUAGCGUGGGUGACUGUAUAGUUUCGCCAAAGGGCAUAAUAUUGAUUAUUUAGUGACUGGUGUAACAGCUGUGUGUGUACGGGAAUUCCCUGAGUGAUUAUUGUGUUAUUGUGUACGUUUCACUCGGUAACUGUACCACGUGGUGCUGUUGCCAGAGGAAACGGGUGUGACUGUUGAAUAAGAACGCGUGCAUAGUAUUCGUUGUCAACGACGUUCCAUUGAUAAGUAUGGGCGCGUCAGAGUCAACGAUUUCGGAUCCCUUAGGUUGUAUGGUAAAGAAUUUUAAAAAGGGAUUCAAAACAUGUGAUUUUGGGGUUAAAAUGUCUCCUGUACGUUUGGUCACUUUGUGCACUAGGGAGUGGCCUACGCGUGGCAGUUUGGAUCCAACCCUGGUACAGCGUGUACACGUGGCUGUAUCAGGUAGGCCUGAACUUUACGGACAGUUUCCAUACAUUGAUUGUUGGGGCAGGCCGUAAACGACUCGCCAAAAUGGAUCCGGAUAUGCCACGAGGAGCAAUGUCGCCUCAUGGUGGCCAGGACUUGUUUGUCCACUAGGACUGGUGUUAGGCCCAUUUUGGACACGCCCCCUGAGUCCGAGAUCCCUUUGCCGCCUCCUUACUUUCCUUUAAGAGGAAGUGACGCGAAUGCAGGAAGCUCUGCACCCCUUCCCCUAUUGCCCCCAUCCACUUCCGCUUCCUCCUCCAGUACAGAAUCCACCCCCCCUCGUAUUAAAACUCCCCUUCCGGAACCAGGACCAACCCCCAUUAGAUUUGAAUAUCCUGAUUUGGCGCCACUUCAAACUUCCGGUCAAGCUUCUUCUAGCUCGGCUCGGAGUAUACUAUUCACUAACUUUUCCCAAAAUCAAGUUCCCACAUCCUCAUGCCCUAUUACCUCUCGACCGGAACCUUUAACUGACGCCCCUCCACGUAGCCCCAUACUAACCCGACAACUGACCGGUACCCAACAAUUAAAACAUUAUCAGAUGCCUCUUCGUCUGAAUCCUGGGUCAGCCUAUAUCGAUGCCGCAGGUCAAAUGGCACAUGCUGACCCAGUCUUCGUAUAUGUCCCGUUCACGACUACCGAUCUCUUGAAUUGGAAGACCCACAAUUCCUCGUACACUGAGAAACCACAAGCUAUGACCGAUCUGUUCACCUCGAUAGUUCAGACACAUAACCCGACAUGGGCUGAUUGCCAGCAGUUAUUAAUGACAUUGUUCAAUAAUGAGGAAAGGACAAGGAUUAACCAAGCGGCCAUUAAGGCGCUAGAGGAGAGAGCCCGUGCUUUAAAUCAAGCCAAUCCGGCAGCAUGGGCCGCAACACAUUACCCUAACACCGAUCCUGACUGGAAUGUAAAUGGCGCAGAUAUGGCUCAACUUAAAGCCUAUAGAGAUGCUAUAAUUGCUGGCAUGAAAGCCGGAGGGAAGAAAGCUAUUAACAUGUCGGAGACAGUUGAGGUGAUUCAGAAAAGUGAUGAAGCGCCCAGUGUCUUUUAUGACCGAUUAUUGGAGGCAUACCGCUUGUAUACCCCCUUUAAUCCGGAAGAUGCUGAUAAUUCCCGAAUGGUAAACUCCGCCUUUGUCAGCCAAGCUUACGGAGAUAUUAAGCGCAAGCUACAGAAAUUAGAAGGGUUUGCAGGUAUGUCUAUCACCCAACCAAUGGAGGUAGCGAACAAAGUAUAUAUGAAUAGGGAAACAGAAAGUAAGAAAGAGGAAGAGCGCAAGAUGCGUAGAAAGGCAGAUAUGCUAGCGGUAGCGAUCGCAGGUGUAGAUAGACGGGGCCUAGAUAGAGGCGAUGGUAGAUGGAAUAGGGAGCCUUUGAGUAGGAAUCAGUGCGCGUACUGUAAGGAAGAAGGGCAUUGGAGGAACGAGUGUCCGCAAAGAGAGCAGUAUGAGAGAGACUUACCCAGGGCAGGUUACGGAAACUUUAGAGGCAGAGCGAGAGGUAGAGGAGGCCCCGGAGGGAGUAAUGGGAACAGAGGAAGUGUAAGGGAAGAUAGGUACUAUCCAGCAGCGCAAAGGUCCCGCGAUAGAGAAGGUAGGGACUUUGUGGGAUUGGCUGACACGGUCAUGGAGGACUAUUGAUACCGACCGGGCUCCAUCCCCUUGGUCGAGCGGAGCCUAUGGUCGAUGUAUCAAUAGGGGGAAAAAGGAGUGCGUUCAUGAUCGACACUGGUGCUGAACAUUCGGUGGUGACUAAUCAAGUUGCUCCUCCAUCUGGAAGAACUAUUACCGUAAUAGGAGCAACUGGAAGAAGUGCUGAAAAACCGGUUCUUAAAAGUCGACUCUGUACAUUGGGAGGCCACGUAGUAAAACAUCAAUUCCUUUAUAUGCCUGAGUGUCCAGUCCAAUUGCUGGGACGCGAUAUGUUAUCCAAAUUACAAGCGCAGAUUACGUUCCUACCAAAUGGAACAACAUCCUUAAAGUUUAAUGGACCCUCAGGUAUUAUGACAUUGUCCGUACCAAAGGAAGAAGAGUGGCGACUUUAUACAGUGUUGACUAGCCAAAACCCGAGGAGUGAUGAAUCCUCAUUUAACAUACCAGGAGUUUGGGCAGAGAACAACCCACCAGGACUGGCCCGCAAUAUUCCACCUAUUAAAAUCGAACUAAAACUUGGGGUUUAUCCAGUAAGCCUGAGACAAUAUCAUAUUCCGCAGAAGGCCAAGAAGAACAUCCAAUCUUAUCUGGAUAAGUUCAUACGGUAUGGUAUCCUAAAAUUCUGUACUUCCCCCUGGAACACCCCAUUGCUGCCUGUUCAAAAGCCCGGUACAGAUGAGUAUCGACCUGUGCAGGACUUGAGAGCAGUCAAUGAUGCGGUUGUUAGUAUACAUCCAGUCGUGCCCAAUCCAUAUAACCUGCUUGCUUUGAUUCCAGGCGGGGCUACUUACUUUACAGUCUUAGAUCUCAAAGAUGCCUUCUUUUGCCUCCGAAUUGCCGCAGAAAGCCAAUGUAUCUUCGCUUUCCAAUGGGAAAAUGCUGUAACGGGCUCGAAACGCCAAAUGACUUGGACAAGAUUGCCCCAGGGGUUUAAAAAUUCACCUACCCUAUUUGGUUCAGCUCUAAGUCAAGAUCUACUAGAUUUCGAGUCUAUCCCAGGAGAGUGUGUAUUAUUACAAUAUGUAGAUGACUUGUUGAUAGCAGCAGCUACAAAGGAAGUAUGUCAGCAAGCAACGCACGAUCUACUACACAUUCUCUGGAAGGCAGGAUACAAGGUGUCAAGAAGGAAGGCUCAGUUGUGUUUGCCAACCGUCAAAUAUCUGGGAUUCCAUAUCUCUGAAGGUCAAAGAAUUAUGGGGCCAGAGAGAAAAGAAGCUGUGUGCCAAAUACCGAUACCCAGGAAUAGAAGACAAGUGCGAGAAUUCUUGGGGCAGCAGGCUUCUGUAGGAUAUGGAUUCCCAGCUACGCGAUACUGGCAAAACCUCUGUAUGCAGCUAUCAAAGGUACAGAGCACGACCCCUUCUUAUGGACUCAAGAACAGCAAACGGCAUUCGAAGAUGUGAAGAGGGCUUUGAUGAGUGCCCCAGCAUUAGGUCUACCUGACCACACACGCCAUUCUACCUGUAUGUACAUGAGCAAAGAAGAAUGGCUGUGGGAGUAUUGACACAGUACUUGGGAUCAUGGCAAAGACCUGUUGCCUACAUGUCUAAGCAACUGGAUGCAGUGGCCAGCGGACUUCCACCUUGUCUAAGAGCUGUAGCUGCAGCCGCCCUGCUAGUAGCUGAAGCCGAUAAACUCACUCUGGGUCAAGAACUUUAUGUACGAGUUCCACAUGCAGUACAGACGUUGUUGGAUUACAAAGGAAAUCAUUGGUUUAGUAACAGCCGUAUGACCAAGUAUCAAGCAAUGUUGUGUGAAAACCCAAGAGUGCAUUUAGAGACUGUAAAUACCUUAAAUCCAGCUACCCUUUUGCCACAACCUACUGAAAGUCAACAUGAUUGUUUGGAAGUAAUGGAUGAAGUAUUUUCAAGUAGACCAGAUCUUCGUGAUUUUCCCAUCCAGAACCCUGAUGUUCAAUAUUACACCGACGGCAGUAAUUAUGUAAAAGAAGGGAUCCGCUAUGCAGGAUAUGCAGUAACAACGAUAGACAAGGUGAUAGAAGCUCGGCCACUGGCAAAAGGAACAUCAGCACAAAAGGCAGAAUUGAUAGCACUGACACGAGCGUUACAAUUGGCUGAAGGUUUAAGAGUGAACAUCUACACGGACUCCAAGUAUGCGUUUUUAACCACUCAUGCCCACGGAGCUUUGUAUAAAGAAAGAGGACUAUUGAAUUCAGAAGGCAAAGAAAUCAAAUACGCAGCUGAGAUCCUACAACUAUUGGAAGCAGUGUGGGAGCCGAAAGAAGUCGGUAUUAUACAUUGUCGGGCGCAUCUGAGAGGAGAUGGUGAUGUAACCAAAGGGAAUCGGAUGGCAGAUAGUGCAGCUAAGCGUGCUGCUGAAUCAGGAAGACAGGAAUAUGUGGGGCAUAUAGCUGCUCUUAUACCAACUCCACUGUCUCAAUGGACUCCAAUUUAUACAGCUCAAGAAGAGGAGUGGUUAAGGACUGAACCUGGAAAGUAUUUGGAGAACAAAUGGUAUCAGUUAGAAGAUGGAAGAAUAGUUAUUCCAGCAUCACUAGCGGUAGAAAUUGUCCAAAACUAUCAUAACGGGACACAUUCUGGGAGAGACAGUACAGAAGAAUCUCUCAGAAAACAUUUCUACAUACCAAGAUUGUCCAACUUGACUCAGGCCAUUGUACGUAGAUGUGUAACGUGUGCUAAAAAUAAUGCAAGACAAGGACCAGUAAAGCCACCAGGAGUCCAGUUUAUGGGGGGACUUCCCAUGUCCGAUUUACAAAUUGACUAUACAGUGAUGCCUAAAUCGGGUGGACAUCGCUACCUGCUGGUAGUGGUGUGCACCUAUUCAGGCUGGGUAGAAGCAUGUCCUACUCGUACAGAGAAAGCAGGAGAAGUCGUGAGAUUCCUGCUACGAGAAAUAAUACCCCGAUAUGGACUACCCUGCUCUAUAGGAUCGGACAAUGGUCCAGCUUUUGUUCAUCAGUGCCUACAACAAUUGACUCAUAUGCUUGGUAUAAAGUGGAGGCUUCAUACGGCAUAUAGACCCCAGAGUUCUGGUAAGGUAGAGAGAAUGAAUAGAACUAUUAAGAAUCAGUUGGCUAAAAUGUGUCAGGAAACCCAACUUAAGUGGAACGUUCUCUUGCCCAUAGCUCUAUUGCGAAUCCGUAGUACACCUACCAGAAGGAUGGGCCUCUCUCCUUUUGAAAUCAUGUACGGGCGACCACCUCCCGUGCUUGGUAACUUAAGGGGGGAUUUGAGUCAGUUGGGAGAAGGAAUUACCCGGCAGCAGGUUGUAGAGUUGGGUAAGACUAUGGAGGAGGUACAGAAAUGGGUACAAGAUAGAUUACCUGUGAAUAUUUAUCCCCCAAUUCAUAGUUACCACCCAGGCGACCAAGUGUGGAUUAAAGAGUGGAAUAAUGUGCCGUUAGGGCCCAAGUGGAGAGGUCCUUAUGUUGUUCUUCUGUCUACCCCUACAGCGAUAAAAGUAGCCGAAGUGGCUCCGUGGAUACAUCACUCCAGGGUUAAACCAGCAGCAGCCGAUUCCUGGCAAGUUACAGCAAAUCCAGAGAAUCCCUGCAAGAUCCGGUUAAAACGCACGACUCAGUCGGAGUGACGAGGAACCUUGUAGAUUACAAAUUUUAUUGUUUCAGAGACUUGGUAAGUGAGUGAGAAGGCCAUAAUAAAGCCUGUCCACUCACCAACGAGUGUAUAAGUCAGGGAAAGUCUUGAGGGGACCCCUGUGAAGACGAGCAGAACUCCAUUCCCUGCAGUCCUUACAUCCUGGAAGCUGAGGUGCCUUCACACGGACGAAGACUGAGGAUGACGACAAAAGAUGUAUUUUUAAUAAUGUUUAUUUAUGUGUAUUUUUAUAUUCAGGAAGGUAGAGGUACCAACACUCCUAGCUGUGAGGUAUGCAUUAAGACUACAAGAACAGGUAACCAUAUAUCCCAGACCCUAAUUUGGCAUUCGCAAUAUGAGUGUAAAGGAGAUGUAUCAAGAUGUAGAUACUUAAAUAUAGAAUAUAGUGUGUGUCAUUUAGGAGUAGGAGAACCUAAGUGCUUCAGUCCUGAGUAUCAACCCCGUACAAUUUGGUUGACUCUCAGAAAUGGAGAUUCUCAGGGGACCCUAAUUAAUAAGACGGUAUUAAAAUCCGUAUAUUCUUCAGGUGCUCUGCUAUUUGAUGCGUGUAAAGCAAUAUCAAGUGGUAGAAAGCCGUGGAAUGUAUGUGGGGAUCUUAGAUGGGAGAGGACGUAUGGGUCUAACGAUAAAUAUAUUUGUCCCAGUAGUAAAAAUAAAUAUGUAAGUCCAAGAUGCCCAAAUAGAGAUUAUAACUUCUGCCCAUAUUGGUCUUGUGUGGGGUGGGCGACUUGGGGACAGACAGCAGACAAGGACAUGAUUGUGACUAAGUUGCCUACUAAUCCAUAUUGUAAGUCUAUGGAAUGCAAUCCAAUCCAUAUACUUAUAAAUAACCCUGACAAGUUCUUAGAUAAAUAUGGUAAUUUAUUUGGGUUUCAAAUAUAUGGGACGGGUUUAGACCCUGGGACAAUAUUGUUUAUAGGGAUAGAGACUGAUACGGUAACCUCCCAAACUCAUCAAGUAUACCAUUCCUUUUAUGAAGAGAUGAGCAUAGAUAAUAAGAUCCCCCAUAAUGCUAAAAACUUGUUCAUUGAUUUAGCCGAGAGUAUUGCCGGUAGUCUUAAUGUUACCAACUGCUAUGUGUGUGGAGGUACUAACAUGGGAGACCAAUGGCCUUGGGAAGCAAAGGAGGUAAUGUCCGGUUCUGAGGCAGUUGACCAAUUAAUAUCUACACAAGCCGACUAUCAUAUGAGUGUUAGAGGUAAAUCUGAGUGGAGAUUGAAGACCUCCAUCAUAGGUUAUGUUUGCAUAGCGAGGAAAGGAAUGAUGUAUAAUACUUCUGUAGGAGAAUUAACUUGUCUAGGGCAAAAAGCUUAUGAUGAUGAUACAAAGAAUACAACUUGGUGGUCGGCUUCAAAUGUCUCAGAACCAUCUAACCCGUUUGCAAGAUAUGCCAAUUUAAAGGACGUAUGGUUUGAUCUAUCCAUCACAUCUAACUGGAGAGCCCCAGCGAAUUUGUACUGGAUCUGUGGUAAGAAGGCCUAUUCGGAGUUACCACAGGACUGGGAAGGGGCAUGUGUGUUGGGUAUGUUAAAACCAUCCUUCUUCUUGUUGCCUAUUGAAACAGGUGAGACUUUAGGUGUUAAAGUGUAUGAUGUGAAUCAUAGGAAGAAAAGGGGACCCAUAGAGAUAGGUGCCUGGGAAGAUAAUGAAUGGCCUCCCCAGCGUAUUAUAGAUUAUUAUGGGCCAGCCACGUGGGCAGAGGAUGGUACCUUUGGUUAUAGAACCCCUAUUUAUAUGCUCAACCGCAUUAUAAGGUUACAGGCGGUGGUUGAGAUCAUUACUAACGAGACAUCACAAGCGCUCAAUCUUCUAGCGAAGCAUAAUACCAGGAUGAGGACAGCAGUUUACCAAAAUAGAUUAGCUUUGGAUUAUCUUUUGGCAGUAGAGGGAGGUGUAUGUGGGAAGUUUAACCUGAGCAAUUGCUGUCUUCAAAUAGAUGACGAAGGGCAAGCAAUAGCUGAGCUUACUAGCCAUAUGGUUAAACUAGCGCAUGUGCCUACUCAGGUAUGGAAAGGGUACAAUCCAAGUAGUUGGUUUGGUAGCUGGUAUGAGUGGUUUGGAGGGCUUAAGGCAGUGGUAGGUGGAGUCCUACUGAUUUUAAUGUUGUGUCUACUCCUGCCGUGUCUUAUACCCUUAGUAGUUAGGUCUGUGCAAAGCCUGAUAGAAAAUAUAGCAGAGAGGAAGGCUGCUGCACAGAUAAUGGCAAUUUAUAAAUAUAAGGCUCUAGAUCAGGGAGAACCAAUGCAGGAAGACGAGUGUUGAAGAUUCACAUUGUAGGAUAAGUCUGGUCUGGUUCAAAGGUAACUUGUGGUGUAUGCAAACCAAGGUUAAGUGAUGCCUCAAGUAAUUGUAAAAUAUCAAGAGGCAUCAAAGGGGGGAAUGUGGUGGAAUCUCGGUAAAAAUAAAUUUAGUAGGCCGAGAUUACCACGUGGCAUGUGUACGUGCAUAUGCUGACGUAUCGAUCAGUUGGUUGCACGAGGCAAGAUACGAUCAGUAGUGUACGGAGCAUGUGCAAGAAUACAGGAUGUAGUAUUCCCCUCCUCCAUUGUGCUGGACAAGCCAUGCGGUCAAGCAGGAAGUUAAUUCUUAUUUGUAAUGAUUGGUCAAGAGAAUGUGCGGGUGGAGCUUAAUAUGGGAGGAGUUAUGUGCCUAUAUAGGGAGCCUGCACUAUUGUUCAGGGCUCAGAACUUGCUGUAUUUUUGGUGACAUUAGUCCCUCUGAGUCCCGAUCGGUGAUCCAAUAAAGAAUCUCUUCCUUCCUGAAGAAACCUGUGUCCAUCCCUCUGUGCUUUGCUUCCGUCAGUUUCUCCGGUAUCAAAAUAAUAAAUAAUACAGAACGAUAAGUCCUGCGCUCACUCCCAUCACUCCUGGGCGGCAGCAACGACUACAGUACACAUCAGCCACAAUAUAUAUAUAUUAAAAACCAAGGAGCUUUUAACAUUGGCUUUAAAGGCCGUAGCUUUAAUGAGGGUAAUUAGAGGCAUUACAAAACACUGUAAAACUAAUUCCAUAACUAUUUCACCAAAAUUAAACUUAACAAUCCACCCUUGAACCAGCCAGAUUGCUUAAACCGUAAGCCUCAAUCCACCUUGUAUUUGAGGCGACCUUACCCAAAGCCGCAAUGGCAGCAGACCUCUGCCAUUUGCGGCUUCUUCCACAAUCCUACGGCCUUCUCUAUUCCUUCUUGUAAACCAUUAUUAAAAAUGUCAAUCCCAAUCUCAGAUAGGUGAACUCCAUCCUUAAAAUAAAUCCCUCUACCACCAUUUUUCAAAUCCACAUGCCUCAAACUUAUAUUUCCUAAAAAUGGCAUCAUCUUAUGAAUGGCUUUAUUAACUUUACGCCUAACUCUUUCCAAAGCCUUCAACUCCCAGUGCUUGCUCCAUAUUAGUCGUGGCGCGAUUUCAGAAAAUAUUAAAAACGUAUUGGGGAAUCUUGCCUUAACUUCACUCAAUAGAUUUUUAAUGCAAAAUAUAAGCUACAAAGAUCUAAUAUUCCCAAUGUAAUUUCCUCCAAUGUGCAUAAUAAUACAUUUUGGAUCAGGGUAGUAACUCGCACAACCUUUUAGAGUCCCAAACAUCUCAUUUAUUAUUAAACCACUUACUCCUCUCCAAAAAAAUCAUAAAAUUGUCCUCAUCCAGUACCAAAUUUUGGCCAUAUGAUCUCUCGGCUGCUCUUCUCUGUGCCCAAAAGAUGAAUUAGUGCCCAACUAUACAAAUAUCUGCUGCUGGCGAGGAAACUAGAAUAAAAAAAGAAAAUGUCACCAUCAGACAUAUCAUUAUAUUACAUUAAACCCGUGCUUUCAUAAAGCUUGUAACAAUCUGACCUCCACCUUCCCACUCUCUUUAUAUCCUCUUGCCUAAGACCUUGGACGCUGACCUCAGUGGCUGCACCUAUACGGAAUGAAUGAGAGGAGAACUUUUCCCCUCCUAAACCUAAAAGCUUAAGGCAUUUCCUUAAAACAACUCUAAAUUGGAAAUGUGUCAAAGGAGAGACGUCACUGUGAAUUAAUAAAGGAUCCAGCUCAGCAGGCCUGGUGUCCAAAAAUUCUUCCACACCUUUUACCAGGCAAAUUUCCUGUUCAUUGAUAACGUAAAUUAUAAUCUUUUCCCUGUCUGUUUUGGACACCUUGAUAAAAAGAGUUAAACUUCCCUCUCUGACCACCACAUCUUCAAUAAAUAAACUUGAUAACUGAAAUUUAGAGGCUGAAACGAGUUUGCUUAGCCUAAGAGCUGCAAAGAAAGCCAAUAAAAAAGACACUUUGAAUAAACAAACUUCAAAUUCAGUAAAACAGAUGAACCUUAGUGACCUAAUUAAUUUUUAAAGCAAACUGAGCUAAAUAGGUUUUCUUUUAUCGUUAACCCUUCUUGUGUAACCCUUUAUUAACUGCUGAAUUAAAAAACUCCUAACAAUUUGCACCCCCCCUAGCAACUUUCAAAAUAAUUUAAUCCCACCUGACAUUCUUUGUAAUAAAGUUUUGGGUCUAUUAGCUUUAAACAUUUUAAUAAAAAAUGAAACUGCGAGAUCUAAACUCGCAUUAAGGGGGUAAGCCAGCCUUUAAGCGAAAAAACGGCACCAACUUAUCCACAAUUUCAAAUAGGCAGUCCAUGUUGCCUUGGCAACCAAAUUCUGUACAAGCUCGUUCACUUUGGUUUGGUAACAUCAGCUCCCAUAUUCGGCCCGGAAUAACAACCGGCUCCUCCUCCGCUUCUGGAGCCAGGCUUCUGAAUAGUGUAAACUGUGAACGAGAAAGUGAAUCAGCAAUGCCAUUGAACUUACCUUGAAUAUGAGUUACCCUUAACCAAAUAUUAUUAGUCAUACACAGCAACGCUACUCUCCUCAUGACUGAAAUUACCUGAUGAGAGGAAGUAUGGAGAGAGUUAAUAGCAUCGAUCACACCUUUAUUGUCACAAAAUACCCUCAGCUUUUUGUUCGCAAAGGCUUGUCCCCAAACUUCUAAUGCUACCAUGAUAGGAAAUAACUCCAAUAGUGUCAAAUUUUUUUGUCCACCCUACCCUCUUCCAAGCUUCCGGCCAGCUCCCUACUCCCCACUUACCACUGCAGUAAAUUCCAAAGCCAUUACUACCACUGCGUCAGUAUAAAAAUCCAUCUCUAAAUUGUCCGACACACUGGAUAACCACAGAGUGUUACCGUUAAAACUGUUUAGGAAGGGAACGGAGCCUGCGCUUGAGCUGAAUGGUCACAUAGUGUCUGAGCUCCCCGGCCGAUGGCCAUUCCAGCGAUAAAAACAGCAGCAAAACAGCUAAAACCAUUCCACUAACCUGGUGUACCGACAAUGUCACAACAGGGGGCACAGAAAACGGCAUAUGCCAAGGAGAAACACUAUUUUUUCGUUGCGAAAAUUCAGAGCAAGAGGACAGCCAUGUUGCAGUCUCAAGAUUGCGACGGCAGUGGUGAAGACAGGGAUCUGUCUAGGCUGCAAUCCCCACAAGAAACAAUGCAAAUACAGGGGGAUCUAUUUAAAAAAUACUGGAUGACAUGGUGUGAGGAUAAUUAUGGGGUGAUAAAUAUUAAAAAUAAUAUUUUCAUAAAAAUUAUCAAAAGUUAAUUUAAUAAUUUUUAUUAUAUAAAAAAUUGAUAUCUUGGCACUAUUUCCCCGAUUAAUGAAUUAAGGCUGAGAAUUACCCACUAUUUUAAUUCUCCUAGAUCCUAGAGUAACUUUCAUUAGAAGAUGUUAUUUCACACACUAAUCACAGAUGAAUUAUAAAUAUAUAAUUUAUUGUGACAAUACUAAUGUAGCGGACCGGCAAUAUUAAAUCCCACGAAUUCCGCUGGUACAUACAGUAAUCCACAGUCAGCGCUGAAAAGCAAGGCGAUAUCCCAAAUCUCCCAGUAACCGGACAAAACACAGUUCUGAGAGUCAACUGACGGCUUUAUUCACAGGCUCCACAAUUUAUACAAUUCCCCAUGCAGGGGGUUUCCUGAGUCACAUCCCAGGGGCAUUCCCAGAGUGGACUACAUGGGGAACUUACAUUACAGAGCCUUUCUCCCAUCAGGCACUGCUGCACGAGAGGGAUCCUCCCACUGGAAUGUACCGUUAAGUGGAUUAUCCCUCCGUGCAGCAGAACCGGCAAUUUAUAUUAAAAUACACAAGUUUUCGAAUAUCAGGCUGAUUUGCACGAAUGGACGUUCGGUAGAUAGCUGGGGUCUGAGCGCAUCAUUCGUGAGAUUAAACAACCGAACGCCGCACGAAAAACACAUUCAUUAAAAUACAAAUUCAAAAGACCGAUUGAAGUCUAGGGAACAUAAUACCGAGCGGCCUGGAAGCUCAGUGGUGUUCGCACCGUCGAGUAGCCGUUUUUAGAACCAUGCGCUCAACGACCAAACACCACUGAGGAUCCAAGAUGGCCGACUGCCGUAUGGUCGGUAGUCGAACGGCGGCCACCUCGGAGAGCCUCUAAUUACCGAUUGCAACAUUGUUGCAAUCGGUUAACAAGCGCCACACGCCUCUAAGUGUGUGGGCUAUUACAUGGUGGUUUUUCGGUUCACGAACGGCCCGCAAAGGUGCCGUUUGUGAAACGAAAUGAAAUACAGCUCUCUGCAUUCGCCAGAGAGCCAAUACAGGAAAUACAGGGUAUUACAGCCAGCAUACAUUAUACUUAGUCACACACAUAUCCCACAACCAUACAGGCAACCCUUAAAGGCACAGUCUCUUUAUAUUGUCCAAGUGGCUAGGUUUGCCACAAUGCUCCCCCAGAACCAAGCCGGCAUACACAGUCUGAUCCCCACGGAUCGGCUUGGGGAUGUCCGGAGGAGGGCUCACAGAUCACUUUUCAAAAUCAGUCUGUCUGGAUAACCCGUCGGCGUUACCGUUUUGUUUCCCGGGGCGAUAAUGGAUUGUAAAGUCAAAAGGCUGCAGCGCCAAACUCCAGCGCAGCAGCCUGGCGUUGUCUCCAGCCACACGGUUUAGCCACAUCAACGGGUUGUGAUCUGUGAGCAAAGAAAAGGGUUGCCCAUAGAGAUACGGCUGUAACUUUUUAAGGGCCCACACCACGGCUAGGCAUUCUUUUUCUAUGGCGGCGUAGCUCACUUCCCGGGGUAACAACUUCCGGCUUAAAUAAGCUACAGGGUGUUCUCCGCCAUCUGCUCCAACUUGGCUCAGCACUGCUCCCAAUCCAAACAUUGAAGCGUCUGUGUGGACAAGAAAUCGUUUAGUUGGAUCAGGAGCAGUGAGUACAGGUGCAUUAGUCAGAGCCGUCUUAAGUUGGGUGAAUGCCUGUUCACACUCUUGGGCCCAGACGACCUGUCGGGGUAGGUUCUUACGAGUCAGAUCAGUCAAGGGUUUGGCCAGGGCACUGUAAUUGGGCACAAAUUUUCUGUAGUACCCUGCGGUACCCAGGAAGGCGAGUACUUGGGUCUUGGUCCUAGGGGUGGGCCACUUAGCUACUGCUUUGAUUUUCGCUGGCUCAGGUUUUUGUUGCCCAUUUCCUACCCGGUGGUCCAAGUACUGUACUUCAGCCAUCCCUAUGUGACACUUGCUAGGCUUCAGUGUCAACCCUGCCUCUCCAAUACGGUCUAUUACUGCCCCUAUGUGUUGCAAAUGCUCUGCCCAGGUCUGGCUAUAUAUGGCGAUAUCGUCCAGGUAUGCGCAUGCAUACUCCUGGAACCCAUCCAGUAGCCGAUCUACCAUCCGCUGAAAGGUUGCCGGGGCGUUCUUCAUCCCGAAUGGCAUAACCUGAUACAGGCCAAAUGGGGUGACAAACACCGACUUGGGGAUGGCAUCUUCGGCUAAUGGAAUCUGCCAGUACCCUUUACAUAGAUCUAUGGUGGUAAGAUAUUGGCCUCUUGCCAUCCUAUCUAGCAGCUCGUCUAUCCGGGGCAUCGGGUAGGCAUCAGACACCGUUUGGUCGUUUAGCCUCCGGUAGUCCACACAAAACCGGGUUGUACCAUCCUUCUUAGGUACCGGGACUACCAGCGAUGCCCAAUAAGUGUUCAAUAACCCCUAACUGCAACAUCUCCUCAAUCUCCUUCCUCAUGUGUUCUCUGACAUCGGUAGCUGUCCAGGGGUACCCCGGCAAGUUGGAGAAAGUGGCGCCUUUCGCCGCUAUCAACUCCUGUACCUGAGUUCGCUCUUGCGGGCUUAACCGCUCCCCCAGUUGAACCCCCUUGGAGGGCUCUGUCUGAUCGUCCUGUUCUAAUAGGUCAGGUAGCGGCAGAUUUUCUUGAUCUUCAGAGGCGGGCGUGCAUAUUGCUGCCACAUCCUCUGUCCUCUCAUGGUAGGGUUUGAGCAUGUUCACGUGGAGCAUGCGUCUCUUCCCUACCCCUGAGCAGGGGCCAAUCACAUAGGUGGUGUCACAUCUCUGUUCCACCACCUGGUAUGGGCCUUGCCAGAUGGCCUGCAGCUUGUCUGUGCAGAUAGGUUUUAAAAUCAAAACCUUCUGUCCCACUUGAAAGCUGCGGUCUCUGGCUCCCCUGUCAUACCAGUGGCGCUGCCGUUGCUGGGCCGCCUGGAGAUUGGUGCGUACGGCCUGUGUUAAGUCCUCCAGGCGGUCCCUGAACUCUAGCACGUACGGUACAAUGGGGAUCCCAUCAGCGCUACUCUCUCCCUCCCAAUGCUCCCUAAUUAGGUCCAACGGCCCCCUUACCCUUCUCCCAAACAACAAUUCAAACGGAGAAAAUCCCGUCGACUCUUGGGGUACCUCUCUAUAUGCAAACAGCAGAUGGGGAAGAAAUCGCUCCCAGUCCUUAUGGGUCUCUCCAAAUGUACGGAGCAUCUGCUUCAGGGUACCAUUAAACCUUUCGCACAAGCCGUUGGACUGGGGGUGAUAGGCAGAGUUUACUAUUGGCUUAAUGCCACACAUCUUCCACAGUUGCUGGGUGACCUCAGCGGUGAACUGGGUACCCCUAUCAGAUAUUAUCUCCUGAGGGAAUCCUACCCGGAAAAGACUUUCAGCAAGGCCUAGGCCACCGUCUCUGCAUGAAUAUUAGACAGGGCGAUGGCCUCGCGAUACCGGGUGGCGUAGUCUACCACGGUCAGGAUAUACCUCUUACCGGAGGGACUAGGCUAAGGUAAGGGUCCCACUAUGUCAACUGCCACUCUGCUAAAUGGCUCCUCAAUAAUUGGCAGGGGGCAUAAUUUCGCUUUGUGGCGGUCCCCCCUCUUUCCCACCCGCUGGCAAAUGUCACAGGAGGUGCAGUAAUGCCUCACAUCUUUGGAGAUCCCUGGCCAGAAAAAGGCGUGGGUCAGCCGGUAGCGGGUACGGGUCAUUCCCAAAUGCCCAGACAAGGGAAUAUCAUGCGCAAUCCUAAGCAGUUCCUGCCUGUACUUUUGGGGAACCACUAACUGUUUAGUGUUUACUGUGACUGAGCCCUCUAUUACUCUUUCUGCUACACGAUAUAACAACCCUUUCUCCCAGAUAUACCGCUCCCCCUCUAAUCCGGCCUGAUCGGUGCUCAUCCUAUCUCGGUAAACCUGCAAUGUGGGAUCUAACUUCACCUCUGCCUCAAAUUUAGUUGGGGUAUCCCAGGUCAUACGUGUCAUGGGGGAGUCAUGGUCUCUUACCUGAGCCUCAGAGUGUGCUGGUGGAACCGUGGUGCGAGCCUGCUGCCGGGUGGUCACUGGAUGUGCUUCCUGGUGUGGAACCUGAGGUACAAAAGCAGAGGUCAUCUGGCCCAAAUCAUUCCCGAGUACAACAUCCGCAGGUAACUUCUGCAUCAGGCCCACCUCGACCCUCCCUUCCCCAACACCCCAAUUCAAAUGUACUUUCGCAGUGGGCAAUCUGUAUACGGCUCCCCCUGCUACUCGUACUGCUACGGAUCCUCCAGUGUGGGCGGAGCCGGGAACCAAAUGAGGGGCGACCAAUGUCAGAGUGGCCCCCGAAUCUCGGAGCCCUUGUACCUCUUUCCCUUCUAGCGUUACCAGCUGCCGGUGAUGUUGCCUGUUGUCUGUGGCUUGUACGGACAUCACCUCAUGUAGUAUCCCCAGUGGUUCCUCUGUUUGAUUAAAGAGCAUCUCCUGGGUGGCGGGUUCCGCUUGGUAGUGGUGGGAGGCUGCUCUGGGUGCUGGGUUUGGCCGCACUUGGUUCCAUGCUUGCCGGCUCCGAUUCUGGGUGCACUCUCUCGCCAUGUGGCCCCAUUGCUUACACGUAUGGCACUGGAUAUUAGCCUUGCCAUUAUAUCUGGACGGUGGAGUGUAGGCCACUGGGUUUGGUCGGAACGGGGCUGCUGUGGGUGCUGUAGGGGUGGCCGUAUGAGGUGCAGCGGCGGGGCGAGGGUAUCCCCUGCUCAGGUUACCGUGAUGUCUUCUGGCGUCAUAAUGUUGGUCAGCUAGUCGUGCUGCUUCGGUUAGGGUGGGGGUUUUUCGGUUUUUCACCCAUUCUUGUGCCUCGGGGGAGAGACCAUUAAGAAAUUGUUCUAGCAACAUCAACUGUCGUAACUCCUCCAUAGUGGUAGCUCGACUGGCCUGUAUCCACCCCUGGGAGGCUUGAUCUAGUUUGUGUGCCCACUCAGCGUGGGAGUCUUUCUUGGGUUUGCGUAAUCCGCAAAACUUGCGCCGGUAUGCUUCUGGGGUAAUGGCGUAACGGUCCAGUAUAGCCUGUUUCACCCUGGCAUAAUCGUUGCUGUCCUCCCUGGGUACAGCCCAAUAGGCUUCUGCUGCCCGACCUGACAGUUUGCCUGCUAAUAACGGUAUCCAUACUGCCUGCUCCAAAUCAUAUAAAUCACAUAGCCUUUCAAAGUCUUGUAAGUAUCCAUCAAUUUCGUCCUUAUCUUCGCAAAACAUUUUAAAUGCAUGGUAAGGAAUUUUAGGUUUUACCUGGUUGCUGACUGCAGCAGUAAUAGAUUCUGCCCUGGAGGGUGGGUUCUGCGGUCCGUGUGCCAUCACAUACUCCUGCACAUCCGCCAUCAGCACAGUCAGCAUUUCCAGUGGUACAGGCUGGGGUAAAAAUUCCAUCCUGGUCCUCAUUUCCCUCUGGUAGAGGGUCUCUUCCAUGGCUGGUGGAGGUGUAACGUUGCGAGCUCUGUCUCCCUCCAUCAGUUCGGUAGUAAGUACAGCUUUAGAUUUGUUGCUACCUCUGGCUUCCAGCAGUUCCUUUAACGUCUGCCGUUUUAAUGUGGCAUAAUCCGUCUCCAUUCACUCCUGCGUUCGGUUCUUUUGUUGCAUUCGAAUUGCCAUUCCCUUUUCCUGUUCGGCAGUUUCAAUUUGCACGAACCACGCUUUUCGGCUGUAAGGUUGGAUCCCGUCGCUUGCCACCAAUUGUAGUAGACCGGCAAUAUUAAAUCCCACGAUUUCCGCUGGUACAUACAGUAAUCCACAGUCAGCGCUGAAAAGCAAGGCAAUAUCCCAAAUCUCCCAGUAACCAGACGAAACACAGUUCUGAGAGUCAACUGACGGCUUUAUUCACAGGCUCCACAAUUUAUACAAUUCCCCAUGCAAGGGGUUUCCUGAGUCACAUCCCAGGGGCAUUCCCAGAGUGGACUACAUGGGGAACUUACAUUACAGAGCCUUUCUCCCAUCAGGCACUGCUGCACGAGAGGGAUCCUCCCACUGGAAUGUACCGUUAAGUGGAUUAUCCCUCCGUGCAGCAGAACCGGCAAUUUAUAUUAAAAUACACAACUUUUCGAAUAUCAGGCUGAUUUGCACAAAUGAACAUUCGGUAGAUAGCUGGGGUCUGAGCGCAUCAUUCGUGAGAUUACCGCUCAGAUCCCAGCUAAAACAACCGAACGCCGCACGAAAAACACAUUAAUUAAAAUACAUAUUCAAAAGACCGAUUGAAGUCUAGGGAACAUAAUACCGAACGGCCCGGAACUCUCGAACGGCCUGGAAGCUCAGCGGUUUUUAGUACCAUGCGCUCGACGACCAAACACCGCUGAGGGAACAAAGAAUCCAAGAUGGCCGACCGCCGCAUGGUCGGUAGUCGAACGGCGGCCACCUCGGAGAGCCUCUAAUUGCUGAUUGCAACAUUGUUGCAAUCGGUUAACAAGCGCCACACGCUUCUAAGUGUGUGGGCUAUUACAUGGUGGUUUUUCGGUCCACGAACGGCCCGCAAAGGUGCCGUUCGUGAAACGAAAUGAAAUACAGCUCUCUGCUUUCGGCAGAGAGCCAAUACAGGAAAUACAGGGUAUUACAGCCAGCAUACAUUAUACUUAGUCACACACAUAUCCCACAACCAUACAGGCAACCCUUAAAGGCACAGUCUCUUUAUAUUGUCCAAGUGGCUAGGUUUGCCACAACUAAUAAUAAUAAUAUGUAACAUGCGUGGUAAUAUCAGUGAAUAUUUAGGUAUAACAUAAGUCUACAGUGGUUUAACAUAAUAUAGACAGCUAAAUAGCAAGUUAUAUGCAACAGUUUUAUGCAGUUUUAACAAGAUUUGCGACAGGACACUACUUUGAAAUCAACUUAACACAGAACACAGCAUCUCACAGCAUCUCACAGCAGCACAGCGUAAAGCAAUAAAAACUUUGACUGACAGUCAAAUCACACUGAAUUAACUCUUUCACUGCUGGCUACAAUUCUCAUAGGAAAGAUAUCCUAUUAUAUUGCAAUGUUACAACUACAAUAUAUCUCAUACUUGAUCAUUGACCAUUCCUCUGUCCAUCCAAUAAGAAUAAUUCUAACCAGCUUUUACUUUUUUAGCAUUUUAACUUUCCUAAUUAAGAUUCACUAUCCUUAAUAUCAGAACAAGUCAAUACCUCUGGAUAAAAAUUUGGUAUGCUAACAUUUGGCAAAUUUACCAUUAAUAUAUCGUUAUCUUUAUUCCAGCUGCAGGAAUGGAAUUUUUAUAACCAUAUAUUCCUUAGCUAAUUAUGAUAUCUAAUAAUUGAAAUCGGACCAACAUUUAUCCAGAUAGAUAUUCCUGCUAUUAGUAAAAAAUAAUUAAUUUGAUUUAAUUAAAUAUAACCAGCAUAAUUACCAGUUAGGUUGUAGUUUUUCAAUCAGAUGUGUAGAUAUGUCCCAGGAAUUUUGAAUGCAAGUAUGAUGAGAGAAUUUUAUGAAAAUAUAAAUAUUGUGUUAGUUGGAAAAACAAAAUAUAGAGAAUUAGGUGUGUCCAGCUUUGUCUCCAGAUGUCAGAUCUUAGAUGUUAAGUGUGAGUCUUGAGUUUAUGUCUAAGAGUCAUAGUGUAUCUGAGUCUGAGUGAGUCUGAGUGAGUCUGAGUGUUUGAGAGUGAGAGUCUUGAGUCCAGUCCCCUCUCUUUCCUUUGUCCUUCAUUUUUAAAGGAGAAUUUUCUGUACGUCAUUAGUUGAUAGUAACCAAUAGAGAACUGUGGGUGUGUCUUCCCUAUAGACUAUCAUCUAGAUUUUGUCAGGGGGUCCAUAUACCAUUUUGUGUAAUGGUUUAACUGAAUUUCGUGAUGUGUUUGACGUCAUCUGGUUAUCUUUAUGGCUAACUGUCCAUCACAGACAUGUCACUUUUCAAAGGUUUUGGUUCACUUUUACCAGACGGAGCAUCUGUAAUUUGACAUGUCCUAACCUUAAUUUCACCCUUCCUUACAAUGGAACUUUGUAAGAUUCCAUUAGUUUUUAGAAAGUAAAAUUAAUUACUUAGUGCUAUCUGUCAUUGGUGUCUGUGUGUAGCAUAUAGUAAUAUUAUUUAUACAUGUCUAUUACACAUAUUCAACUAACAUUAGUAAAUAAUAUGGCAUUUCUUCAUUGAUAUUAUAUCCAUGAAUAUUCUAUAUUAUUAACAUAGUACUAAUUAUAUAUGAUUAAUAUAAUAAUAGUAAGUUAUAUGUGGAUAAUGUGUAUGUGUGUGUGUAUAUAUAUAUAUAUAUAUAUAUAUAUAUAAAACUAUAUAUAUAUAUAUAUAUAUAUAUAUAUAUAUAUAUAUAUAUAUAUAUAUAUAUAUAUAUGCCUUUGGGUUGUUGUAUUCAACCAUCCCCCUGCUGUAGACUUCAUGCCUUAUCUCAGGUUUUAUCUCUGCUGUUUACAAAAGUUGCAUUCCUUAGCUCAGACUUGAAUGAAUAGAGUUACAGAGGGAAAAAUUUGUGUCUGUCUUGGCAUUCUAUUACAAAAUGGAGUCACCUCAGUUCUGAUGGUGACUUACAGUAUACACUUUUAAUUUCUGUCUUAACACAAAAUGUCUGCCAGUAUAAAUAUACUGACAAUGGCUGCUAAGAUACAAACUACAGUACCGGCAUCAAUCUCAGACCUCAGACAAGACCUACUAGAUUUAGGUAACCGCACAGCCAAAUAGAAAAUAAAAUGGCGAAAUACACUGUAGCACAUAACUGGAAGAGCUGGAAGCCAGACUGGAGAGGCAAGAACUAAAAUCCAUGGAUCUGGAAGACAUAUCCAGGUGACAAAACCUGAGGAUAAGAGGUAUCCCUGAGGACAUACAAGUGGCAGAGCUCACCGCCUUUUUGACUGGACUCUUCCAGGCCCUAGCCCCUGAUAUACAACCAUCCAUGCUCCUAAUGGAUAGGGCACACAGGGUGGCAAAACCCCAGCACCUACCAAGCUCCACUACUAUCAUGUGAAAGAGACUCUCCUCAGAUCUAAACGACCGCAGUAAGACUUACCAGAGACAUACAAAAAUAUCCAGGUGUUUGCAGACCUGUCGGCGGAGACGCUUUGAUGUAGAAGAACAUUCCGUGAAAUAACCUCUGAGCCGAGAAUCAGAAAAAUACCAUACCGUUGGGAAUUCCCGACAAAACUACUAAUCUCCAGAGAUGGCAAGAUGCAAGUAAUCUCCGAUGUCGCUGCAGGCAAUCGACUACUACACAACUGGGGCAUCACCACGUUUGCAUCGGGUGAGGGCACCAAAAGGCAUGCAGCGAUCCAGCGAUCCAGCAAGAAUGGAGAACCAUACAACAUUCAAAAACUCCCAGAGUCACGGGGAAACAGUGAAUGGUGGGGGCGACAACUAUUCCUGCAUUCCCUAACCACCAGAGACUUGGCUCCAUACUGGAACAUUAAGUCACAACUUCAUAACAAGUUCUCUAAGGCUGUGCGGAACGACGCAGAAAUGACAACGGACGGGAAUGGGUAAUAUAGACUCCCUCACUUUUAUAAAAGGUCCGCUCGUACUAUGAAAGGGCAUAUAACACGUAAUGUUUAAGGUUGUGUUUUACUGUGCAAGGGGGUAGAGCCGUACAGGAGCACCCAAGUUAAUGGGGCGCCAUGACACCACCUAUUAGGGCCACAUAGAUGGCCUGGGCCACAACAGAGUCAAAUAGAUGGCCAGUCUCCAUGCCACGUAAUGCCUCAGGCAGAGGAGUAGUUAUUUUGCCUCCACCCCCCCCACCCCCACCUCACCUCACAGGCUUGCAAUACAGCCGCAGGAGCGGUAGAGUCCAGAGGGUCACUAUGAGAUCGCUAUAACGUGGGUUAAAGGGUUCAAAUACCCACGGUCACUUUAAGUUUAAGGUUUAAUUGGAAAGGGUACAUUUUCUAAUACAGGAGACAAGUACUAGAGCCAGAAGCGAAGGGGAUGCGAUUCACUGGGUGACCUGAAAGCUGGACCUGACUCCUUACAAUCCCCGAAGGUCAAGGCUAGUGGGAUUAGCUAGCGAGAUGGAGCUUUAGCAGGGAGACCGGUAGGGUCCCGAUGUUUAAGUUAUCUUUCUGUUUAUAUGUUAAGUUUAUUGUUUAUUUGGUCAAUACUGUAAUUGUGUUCCUGUAUUCCUAUGUAUACUUGCCAAGAAACGUUUAUUUUUCUCUGAAUACCAAUCAAAGGAACCUCCUACAUAGGGUCCUCACUAAAACCGAAAACCUAGAAAGGGCACCCUCAUAGUUUGGGGAGACUUCAACCACACUUUCAACCCACAUUUAGAUUCCACCAGGCCCACCUCCUCCCCAAACUAUGGCACUUUCAAAAAACAAUGCAAAGCCCUUGUGACGCUGAUGUCGACAUUUGGGCUCCACGACAUAUGGAGAGUGCUGCAUCCGGGAAUACACACACCACUCCAGGAUACAUAACACAUUCUCAAGUAUCGACGGCUACCUCAUGCAUGAAUCAACUCUGACUAGGGUACAGGAAUGUGACAUCACACCCACGGGAUGGUCUGACCACACACCGGUAUCAUUAACGUUAUCAGAUUCCUACAAAUACAAACACAGAAAUUCAUGGCACCUCAACAAGAGCCUAUUAAAGGACCAGCAAUUCUGCUCCCACUUAGAGACGGAAUUGAAACAAUAUUUCGACACAAACGAACGGUCAGUCCUUAACCCACACAUGCUUUGGUUAGCAUACAAAGUGGUGGUGAGAGGUACACUAAUAAGCAGAGCUUCCUACAUCAAACGACAAACAGAAAAAGACCUAACUCAUUGUAAGAUCCAACUAGAUAACUUACAUAGAGAAAACCAAGCACACCUCUCUACAGCAAAUAGGACUCAAAUAGCCGCCCUCUAAAACAAGAUACAUAAGGUCCAAAUCUUUUCAGCCUUAUGCUGAAAAGAUUAAAAUUGCACACAUACAUGCAGGGAAACAAGGCAAGCAGACUUCUAGCCCAAAGACUGAAAGACAGACAACAACGAAAACAAAGGAAUAAGAAAGGUAAUUUAUUGGGGAGGGCGGAGCGAUUACGUGAUGACACACGCCGGUCACGUCCCGCAGGUGGUGAAGGGAAGGAAACAAGGGAGUAAGGACAAAAGCUGGGAGACCAUGGCGGCAGACAAACAAAUAUUGAUCUGAUAGCACGAGAGGGUUUUGCGGCUGGCUGGAAAGACGAGAAAUGAACCCUGUACUAAUGCUGGAUCAUGCAGAAGUGGAGGAAAAACCAAGCAUAAACUGAAUUCAAUACUCUAUGUAGGAACAGCAAACUAAAAGCGACAGCACAAAGGAUUGUAAACACAGCGGAACGCAAGUACAAAAGACAAGUAUUUUGCACUGUGUAAAUAUCUAUAAUUUAUAUGUAUCUGGCUGUCGAUAAGUUUAUGCUGAUAUAAAGAGGGAUGAAAGAUUUUAUUGAAGGAGAUGUAAAGGUGUGGUGUAUAUAAAUAUACAAUCCACAUAUGCUCUCAACGUUUGAAAACCUAUUGGUAUUUGGAGUAAAUUAAGUAAUCUCCUAUCGCAUGCAACUUCAAUGAGGGGUCAAGAGGAAAACUAUUUAAAUUUAAGCUACCAAAUACCUUGAUGCUAUCUGGAUUAUUUACACUCUCUAAUGUUUAUACGCUGAUUAUGUAUACAAGCUGAGUAUAGAGGGUAUAUGCCUGGAAGUUAGAAUAGACUGUAUGGUCCCAAAAAUUAAGCACAAGAGAAGGAGAGUUAAUUAUUUAUAUAUAAUAUUUUUUUUUUUUUUUUGUGUUUCUUCUCAUUCCAUUUUUUAUUGCUGUACGAGUGAGCAAUAAUGGCAAACAAAAAAAGUGAACCCAAGCUGGGAAAUAAAAGAGAGAAAAAGACAGAUCAAAGAAUUGAAAAGAGACUAUCAAAUUAUUUUUCACCUCAAGAUAAAGAUAAUAUGGAGAGGAGAAUUAGUCUAAAUGAAAUAGACUCUUAUAAGAAGGAUACAAUCCAGCCUGCGACACAAAGAAAUCCUGAGCAAGACAACAUGGAUUGCUCACAAAAGGAUCCAUGUUUGAUUGGUAAAGAACAUCUGAAUGCAUGUUUACAAGAGCAAUUACAAAAUAUAAAGAAAGAGAUACACCUAAUGAUGGAUGACUUUAAAUUGGAGAUAUCCAAAAUAACGUCAAAAGUUAAUUCAAUCGAAGAUAAAAUUGAGCAUUCAAAAGUACAACAAGGGCUACAGGAAGAAAAGAUCUUACAGAUGGAAAAGAAAAUUGCGUUAUUGGAAGUCAAGAUUACCGAUAAUGAAGAUAGAGCAAGGAGAAAUAAUAUCAGAAUAAGAGGAAUCCAGGAAGAAGUGACACCAGGAGGGCUGGACGACUAUUUAAAAAAAUUCUUAAUAUUUUUGGGAGUACAUCAAAAUAACAGUCUAUACUGCACAGAAAGGAUCCAUAGAAUCCCAAACCCUAGUAAUAUUUCAGCUCAAGCCCCAAGAGAUGUCAUUGCAGCAUUAGGUUCAUAUAGACUUAAACAAGAAGUCAUGACGGCAAUGAGAUCUAAAUCUUUACAUGGCUCAAAAUAUGAACCAAUCAAAAUAUUUAAUGAUUUAUCUAGAAGUACUAGAAUGAGUAGAAAGAACUUUUCACUAUGUACCCUUAAAUUAAGGGACUGGGGAAUUAAGUAUACAUGGUUAUUUCCAGUGGGAUUAAGACUGUCAUAUAGAGAAAAAGUUGAAACGUUUCGGGAAGUUCAGAGCUUGCAAAUGUGGAUACAGGAGAAUGUUAAAUAUCGUGGGCUCUGGCCUACUCCGGAUUCCCCUCUCCUUCUCCCUUUGAAAGGGGACGGGGAGAGGUGAUCCCGGAGUGGUUCUGUACCCGCGCAGGGUCUCUUACUUAUUUCCCUAAUUAAAAGGGGAAAGAUCUGAAAUGUUCCAUUUUGUUUUUUAUUUAUUUUUUUUAGAAUUAUAUAGGAGAGAUAGGUUAUUCUUUAGAAUUAAAGGAGUAUUGGGUGCAAAAGAAAGUAAAAUGAGUUAAUAGUUAUUAUAUAGUUCACGUAUAGAAGUUAGAUAUAUGAUUUGAUUAAAUCACUAAGGCGGAACAAAUAGUUUAAAAACAAUAAAGGGCACGUUAAUUAUUGAAAUAAGAUUAAAUAGAACAAAUAAGGAACGAUUAUUCAUAAAUAUGACUUAUAAUAUAUACUUUUGGGUCUCGCGAGACUUACACUGUAAGAACGGAGCUGACAGAGGAGCUGCACGGAGGAGAAGGGAGCUGACAGGAGCUGCAGGAAGGUAAGUAACAACUCUAUGUCAGCCCCCCCACUGAACAGCCAAUGCCACUGGACCACCAGGGUUCAAUAUUAUUAUUUUAAUAUUAUUUUAUUUUAAUAAUAAUAAAAUAAUAUUAUUAAAACAAUAUAAUAUUAAAAUAAUAUUAUUUUAUUAUAUUAUUAUUAUUUUAAUAUUUGCAUUAUUUUUUUUUAAAAAUGGUUUAAAAAAAUAAUGCAAAUAUUAAAAUAAUAAUAAAAUAAUAUUAUUAUUUUAAUAUUAUAUUAUUUUAAUAAUAUUAUUUUAUUAUUAUAUUAUUAUUUUAUUAUUAUAUUAUUUUAAUGAUAUUAUUUUAUUAUUAUUUUAUUAUUAUUUUAAUAUUUGCAUUCUUUUUUUUAAGUGUUUUUUGUCCCCCCUCCCUGGCCAGGCAACAAGCAGGGAAGGGGGACAAAAAAAUAAAAUAAUGCAAAUAUUAAAAUAAUAAUAAUAAUAUAAUAAUAAAAUAAUGUUAUUAAAAUAAUAUAAUAUUAAAAUUAAAAAAAUUAAAAUAAAAAUGCCCUCCCCUCACCGAGUUUACACACACUGCACAAACACACACACACUGCAUUAUAUACACACUGCAUUCAUUAUAUACACACACAACACACAAACACACACUGCAUUCAUUAUAUAUACACACACAAACACACACUCUGCAUUAAUUAUAUACACACACACAAACACACACACACUCUGCAUUCAUUAAAUACACACACAACACACAAACACACACUUUGCAUUCAUUAUAUACACACACAACACACAAACACACACUCUGCACUCAUUAUAUACACACACAAACACACACUCUGCAUUCAUUCUAUACACACACUGUAAAUAAAUAUUAAAUUAAGGUAAUUUUAUUGGGAUCUACCGGUAAUUUUAUUUAGAAAUUUACCAGUAGCUGCUGCAUUUCCCACCCUAGGCUUAUACUCGAGUCAUUAAGUUUUCCCAGUUUUUUGUGGUAAAAUUAGGGGCCUCGGCUUAUAUUCGGGUCGGCUUAUACUCGAGUAUACAUGGUAGUUCAAAGGAAUUUCCGUUUAUUUUUAAAUCUUCUAUGCUUAAAAAGAAAAAAAGAGGGGUAGCAAUUAUAAUAUCUUCAAAAGUAGCUUUCAAACUAAUUUAUCAGGACUCUGAUACUGAAGGAAGAGUCAUUAUAAUAAUAUGUGAGAUGAAUAAUCAGCUAUACACUAUUGUAAACUUAUAUGCACCAAAUAAAGCCCCCAUAAGGUUCUUAAAUAAACUUGUAGACAAAAUUGAUAAAAUCAAACAGGGUAGAAUAAUAUAUUUGGGAGAUUCCAAUUGUUUAUUGGACCCUACUAUGGAUAGAAAUAAACUAAGUAAUAAGUAGAAUAAAGGAUAUUUAAAACAAUCCUCCCUAAGAUUUAAUGAGAUUAUCAAAAAGGCAGGCCUUAUGGAUAUUUGGCGCAUAUAGCAUCCUAUGUAAAAGGAUUAUACGUGUUUUUCCUAUCCACAUCAAGUCUAUUCAAGACUAGAUUAUAUAUUGACAGAGAUAAAUACUGCCAGAAUGGUUAAAAAGAUUUUAAUUACCAAUAUUCCAUGGUCAGAUCACAAUGCAUUAAUUUUGGUUAUUAAAUAUGAUUUUGUCAAAACUAGAUCUAAUUGGAGACUGAAUGAACAUCUAUUAAAAAAAGUCAAAAUGUGGAUAUAAUACAAAAAGCUAUAGAUGAUUACUUUAGAGAAAAUAAAAAUUCUGAGACAUCAUUGUCAACGCUCUGGUGUGCAUUUAAAUUAAAAUGAGGGGAAAUUUCAUAAAAUUGGGUUCAGAGGAAAAAAAAAAACUCACAAAAUUUAUCACAUUUAUAUAUCGAAUAUGAAAUGCUCGAAAAACAGAAUAAGAACAGUCCUUCGAUUAAAAGUAGUGAAGAAUUAAAAGAAAUAAGAGAGACAAUUAACAAUAUCUUGAUCUAUAAAUCUAAUCUAGCCUUAGAACGUUUAAAAAGAAUUUGGUAUUAUAAAGGGAAUAAAUUACUAACAAAUAGAUUAAAAAAAGAAAAAAUGAAAAAAAUUAUUUCUAAAAUAAGAAUAGGAGGAGAAGAAGUACCUGUCACCAGAUAAGAUCGGUAAAGCUUUUCAGGAGUAUUAUUCAGGCUUAUAUAAUCUACCAGAGAGAAAUGGUACUUAUAAGAUGUCUGAAUUUUUUUCUCAACUUAAACUCCCAGGUAUAACAGAGGGUCAGUUGACACUAUUAAAUGAACCUAUCUCAUGAAGUAGAACUAGCGUUUAAAAAAUUAAAAGCAAAGAAGGCUCCAGGGCCGGAUGGGUUCAGUAAUUGUUUCUAUAGAAUCUUUAAGGGAAAUAUCAUAGAUCCGCUUACUAAAUUGUUUAAUUAUUUUAUGAUACAUGGAAAUAUCCCCAGAGAAAUGUUAAAGGCUCAUAUAGUCCCUAUCCCAAAGCCAGAUAAAAAUCCGGAACUAGUAACAAAUUAUAGACCCAUUUCACUGCUAAAUAGUGAUAUCAAAAUAUAUUCCUCUGUGUUAGCAGAUAGGAUUGCUAAUAUAAUACCAACAAUUAUUGAUAGAUGUUGCAGAUGUAGCAACUAAAAGGAAUUUAUCCCUCCUUGCCCUGUCACUAGAUGCUGAAAAGGCAUUUGACAGGGUAAGGUGGGAUUUUUUGGAGAAUGCAUUACAUAGUUUUGGAAUUCAUGGCAAUGUUAUUAGGGCUAUUAUGGCCUUAUAUACAGUCCCAACAGCCAGGUUUGUAGGGAGUGGCUUCGUCUCUGACUGGUUUCAGUUGACGAACAGAACAAGGCAGGGGUGCCCCUUAUCCCCACUUUUAUAUCUGAUAAGCCUUGAACCCCUAGCGCAUAAAAUUAGAGAUAAUGAAUCUAUAAAAGGAGUAGAGUUAGAGGGAGAGUCAUUAAAGCUUAAAAUGUAUGCGGAUGACGUUGUACUCACGUUGACGGACCCUUUGACAUCAAUGGAAAAAGUUAUGGAUAUCAUAAGGGAAUUCUCUAUAGAUUCAGAAUAUAAAUUAAAUUUAAAUAAGUCAGCAGUACUCCCAUUUAAUCUUACAUUAAAUACCAAGCGUAAUUUAUUUGAUAAGUUUGGAUUUGAUCGUAAAAAUAAUUCUAUGGAAUGUUUAGGUAUAGAGAUUACUAACGAGCCAAAUAGAAUGAUGGAACAAAAUAUUUUGAAGCUAUUGAAAGAUACUGGUAAAACCUUGAAAAAAUGGACGGGAAUAGAGGCAUCUUGGUGGGCGAGAAUUAAUAUGAUAAAAUUCUAUAUAUACCCAAAGUGGGUCUAUCUCUUCCGCAUGAUGCCGCUGUAUUGUACAGAAAGUUGGCUCUCCUUAGCACAAUCAAUUUUUAACCAUUUUAUAUGAGGUGGAAAACACCCAAGAUUAAGUCGUGAUCAUUUAAUGUUAAAAACAAAAUUAGGAGGAUUGGGAAUUCCACAGCUAUGUCAAACAUGGAGAGCAUGUAAUAUAGCUCAAGCAAUAAUUACCCAAUCUGAUUUGGCAAAAGAUCAAUUUUGGUAUAAAGCUGAGCAGAGUUUACUUAAGGAUGAAAUAAAUGAAGAUCUAUGUUCCCUCUUCUGGAAGACAGAUAAUAAAUAUAAAUAUCGACAGAGACUUAUAUGGAAUAAACUAAGGAAAGAUUUGGACUUACAAGAUAAACUUAUUACUAGUCUUCAUCUUAGACAUUUGCAAAGUAAUAUCGCAGAUUUAAACAUACAGAGUUGGAUUAAACUGGGAAUUAAAAAAAUUAAUAAUAUAGUAGAGUAUGGAAAAGUAAAAGAUUUUAAUGGUCUAGUAGAGGAUAAUAAGUUGGAGAGUAAAGAGGUAUUUACUUACAUGAGAGUAAAGGGUUAUCUUAAAGAGCACUUACCCAAAGACUACUCUAAUAAACAAUUAAUAUUUGAACAAUUGUUAAAAUACAAAAAUACUACUAAAAAACUGGUUUCUAAAUGCUUUAAUUUAAUUGAAAAAGAUCCGGAAAAUAUUAUCUGUCAUGUAAUAAAUAAAUGGGAAAAAGAUCUCAGUUAUAACAUAAGCUAUAAAGAAUGGAAAAGGGUGUUAAAUCUGCUCACAAAGAACAUACAUUGUCUUAACCUAGUGGAACUUCAGUACAAAAUUAUGAAUAGGUGGUAUUUAACACCAAAUAGGCUAGCUAAACUGUAUAUAGAUGCCUCAGAUAAAUGUUGGCGCUGUGGGGUUCAAAAGGCAGGAAUGAUGUAUAUAUAGUGGGAGUGUGGAUCAAUUAAUUUGUAUUGGAUAAUAAUAGCAUUAAAGAUUAAAGCACUGACUAAUAUUAAGUUUGAUAUAAAGCAAGAUAUUUUUUUGUUGCAACUAUAUAUAAUCCAGAAUUUUGGCCAAUAUGCUACAUUGGUAAUACAUAUUUUGCUAGGAGCUAAAAUACUAAUUGCCAGAAACUGGAAAUCUAUUAAAGUUCCAGUAUGGGAGGAAGUUAAAGUACAAGUGAUUUAUCAGAUAAAAAUGGAGAUCGGUAUUGUUAAAGAAUCAAAUAAGAUGAAAGAAUGGCUCGGUAUGAUACAGCAACUUUAAACCUUGUAUCAAAUAUAUUCUGUAAGCAGGGCCGGAUUAACAUAGGGGGAGCUCCAGGCCCAGGCCCAUGGAAUAGGCCCUUUGAUUUAAAAAAAAAUAAAAAAUAUUUUUUACAUUUUUUUUUCACACACUUCUCUUAGGGAUUCCACCUGGCUUUUAUUUUAUUGGCACAGCCAGUAUUUGAGGCUGCCUGGCUGGUGCCAAUAUUGCAGUGAUACUGGCAAUAUAAAUGCUGGUAUUUUUCUCAGUAUAAAUGGAAAUUACUAUGCAAUACCAGCACUAGCCAGUAUGUGGAGACAGGCAGGGAAGUAGGAAGUUCCAGCAUAUCCCUCCCUGCCUAUCUAUACUCACUGAUCUGCAGGGGUGCAGCUACAGAGAGUCCAGACAGCAACUCCCACCCUGCAGAGACAGCUUACAGCUCAGGGAAGUAAGGGAUGGGGGAAAGGCAGCAGGGAGACAUGGGGACACUGAGACACUAAUUAUGACACAGACACAUGGGGGCACAGUGUCCCCAUGUCUCUCAGCCAGUGUCCCUGGUGUCUCAGUGCCCCCUAGUCUCCCAGUGAUCCCUAGUCUCCAGGUGACCCCAGUCUGCCAGUUUCUCACUGUCCCCAUGUCUCCUAGUGCCUCCAUGUCUCUCAGUGCCUCAAGUGUCACAAUGUCCCCAAGCUAGUGUCCCUAGUGUCUGUGGUCCUGGUGUCUCAGUGUCCCCAUGUCUCCCAGUGCCCCCAUGUCUCAAGGUCCCCAUGUCCCCCAGCCAGUGUCUCUAGUAUCUUUGUCCCUGGUGUCUGUCCCCAUGUCUUCAAGUGUCCCCUAUUUUCCCAUUGUCCCCAUGUGUCCCAGCCAGAGUCCCCUAGUCUACCAGUGUCACUGGUGUCUCGGUGUCCCUAGGUCUCCCCGUGUCCCCAGGUCUCCCCGUCUUCCUAGUGUCCUAGUGACAUGGGAACCCUGGGAUACAUGGGGACACAGGGAGACAUAGGGCAUUGAGACACUGAUACAUAGGAUCACUGGGAGACCUGGGGACACGACACUAAGGGACACUGGGAGACAUGGGGCACUGAGACACUGAUACAUAGGAACACUGAGACCUGGAGUAAUCGACACAUGGGGGCACUGAGUCAUGAGGGCACUGGGAGACAUGGGGGCACUGGGAGGAAUCCAUCUAUACAGCAGAAUCAAACUAAGUAGUUUUUUGGUGAUUUUACAGCAUUUUCUCUUAUGUCACUCCUUGUGAUUUACAUCAUGUGAUGUCACCCACACAUAUUUAAUUAUGCAAAUUAGUAAGGCCGGUAUGUUUUUCCAAGAAAGGUGGCAACCCUAACUACUUUUCACAUACUCUUACUUAAGUAUGGAAACUUAAGAGGGAUGUAUGGGAACAAAACUUGUGUGGACUGGCUGACAAUGAAUAUAGUUAAAGGGACACUAUAGUCACCAGAACAACUACAGCUUAUUGAAUUUGUUCUGGUGAGUAGAAUCAUUACCAUCAGGCUUUUUGCUGUAAGCAUGGUUUUUUCAGAGAAAAUGCUGUGUUUACAUUACAUCCUAGUGAUAACUUAACUGGCCACUCCUUAGAUGACUGUUAGAGAUCCUUCCUGGGUCAUGGCUGCCUAAAAUGCAUCCAAACAUUCAGUGUCUCCUCCCUCUGCAUGCAGACACUGAACUUUCCUCAUAGAGAUUCAUUAAUUAAAUUCAUCUAUAUAAGGAGAUGCUGAUUGGCCAGGGCUGUGUUUGAAUCAUGCUGGCUCUGACCCUGAUCUGCCUCUUUGUCAGUCUCAGCCAAUCCUAUGGGGAAGCACUGUGAUUGGAUCAGGCCACCACUUCUAAUGAUGUCAGCAGACUGCUUGUUUUUAUGAGUCUAACAGCAUGCAGAGUUACAGCUUCAGGCUUGAAUAUAGUAGGAUUUUGCUAUAUUUAUGGAGGCAUGAGGGGUCCAGGGGGGCUAGAUGGUGGUGUUAACACUAUAGGGUCAUGAAUUCAUGCUUGAGGUAAUGCUGACUUUGGUCUCUCUAACACUGUGACAUGUUCCCUUUCUUCUACACUCACUACAUACAGCUUUUCGCUGUCCCAGACCAUAUACCAGGAGCUUCUGCCUGCUAGUAAGAAGGUAAGGAGACAAGUGGACCAGCGAGUGCUAGGGGACAGUCCUUAGAAAGCAUUGAGUGAGCGCAUCAUUAGAUGCAUUUAUGCCAAGCUCAGGGUGCUGUCUGCAUAGUAUGCCCUUAGUUGGCCAGCUGCAUGAUUGGCAGGCAGCCUGACAUGCAUUCAUGCCAGGCUGGCCUUCUAAUUCUUUGAGCAGACAUAUCCUCUUUUUGGGCAUGUUCGCCCCUUUUGGCAGGUUUUGUGAUUUGUGUCAGUGGCACACCCUUUUACCAUGCCCAUUGACUUCCUGCUUGACUGGACACUGUUAGGGGUUAUGGAUUUACUUGAAAGAUGAAAACAUAAAUUAGAGAGGGAUUAGCUUAGGGUAUGUGUUUUCUUAUAGCUGCUGUUUUCUUUCUCUCCAGCACCAUCUCCAUCAGAUACAUGAUGCUUGGGAGUAUUUUACUGUUUUUGGUCGAUAUGAUUCUGUAAUUAGGCCCGUCAUAAUUGUCAGCACCAGGCCCACUGGGCUCUUAAUCUGGCCCUGUCUGUAAGAUAGGAAUGAAAAAUACUCUCUUUGCUGGAAAUAUUGUUAGAUGUCUUUUUGUGUGGUGUAUUAUAUUAUGAAUAGAAAAAUAAACUGUUUUUCUCUGUUGAAUCAGAACUAGACACUGUACUAAUAUAUAUAACUAGAGAUCCAUGUUAGGGAUAUUAAUAAAAUCUGAAUAAUGUAAUAUUUAAUGUGUUUUUGUUAAAUGUAAUGUAUCAUGUUUUUUUUUUUUUUAUAUAACAAUAAAAGUAAAAUAUUAAAGGACCACUCUAAGCACCCAGACCACUUCAGCUUAAUGAAGUGGUCUGGGUGCCAGGUCCCUCUAGGAUUAACCCUUUUUUUUUAUAAACAUAGCAGUUUCAGAGAAACUUCUAUGUUUAUAUAAGGGUUAACCCAGUCUCUAAAGCAUCUAGUGGCUGUCUCAUUGACAGCCGCUAGAGGCGUUUGCGUGCUUCUCACUGUGAAAAUCACAGUGAGAAGACGCCAGCGUCCAUAGGAAAGCAUUAUGAAUGCUUUCCUUUGAGACUGGCUGAAUGCGCGCGCAGCUCCAUUCAGCCGAAGAGGAGGAGGAGAGGAGGAGGAGAGCUCCCCGCCCGGUGGGAGGGGGACCCUGAGGGUGGGGGCACCCUCAGGGCAUUAUAGUGCAAGGAAACGAGUAUGUUUUCCAGGCACUAUAGUGGUCCCUUAAACAUGAAAAAAAAGAAAGACAGACAACAACAAACACGCAUAGCACACUUGAUAAAUAGGAAGGGCCACAAAUUAAUACUGCCCACACAGAUGUGCACAGAAUUUGCAAACUACUAUAGCCAGCUUUACAACCUCAAGGACGACCCGGACAUUUCAUGCCCCACGACCUCAGGUAUCCAAAACUUCUUAUCUGAGCUCCCUCUACCGACACUGACAGCUACUCAGAAACAAACCUUAGCAGCUCCCGUUACCGAAGAUGAAAUUCUAGACUGCAUCAACUCCCUACCUAAAGGAAAGGACCCUGGAUUACGUACGCUUUUAACGCAAAAUUUAAACGCAUCUUGACCCUGCACUUCACCGCGCCAUUCAACCACGCAACCCACACAGAGUCUUUUCCCUCGUAAUUCCUUGCCGCCAGUGUAAUCACGCUCCCAAAACCAGGCAAACCACCUACUCACUGUCAGAACUUUCGCCCUAUUAAAUUCAGACACUAAAUUAUAUGCCAAAAUCUUAGCCACCCAACUCAAAACAAUCCUGCCAUCAAUCAUAUCCGACGACCAAGUGGGCUUUGUAGAGGGGCGGCAAGGACCGGACAACAAAAGGAAAGUACUAGAGACCAGAAGCAAGGACUGCUUAUUUCCUUAGAUGCUGAAAAAGCUUUUGACAGAUUGAAUUGGCAAUUUCUAGAAGCGGUUCUUACCAAAUUUGAUUUCCUGCAAGAAUAUCUGAUGGCUAUUGAAGCCUUAUACAGCCUCCGAAAUGCUUCAGUAUCAAUAUCGGGGUUUUUGUCAGACCCAUUCAACAUUACAAUUGGCACACGACAGGGCUGCCCUCUAUCACCACUCCCCUAUGUACUUGCAUUGGAACUGUUAGCUGAAGCUAUGAGACAAAACGGAUACAAACUCAAUUUAGUCGCAGUUGAUGUCCUGUUGACACUAACCCUACCAACCAUCUCCCUCCCCAACCUUCAAAAGGAACUACAACACUGCAGCGCACUAUCAUACUAAAAGCUAAACAUCACAAAAACCAAAGCGAUGAGAAUAGGCAUAGACAAAAGUACCAAAAGUACCAACGGGCAUUCAACUUCGACUGGAGACAAGACCUCCAAAUUGACAAAAUCACAGCACUCUUUGUUUAAAAUGAACUAUCAAAAGCUACAAACUGAGAUAGACACAUAAAAGACAUGGGAAGGGAAAUACAUAUGCUGGGUGGGUAGAUGUGCGGCAAUCAAAAUGGUAAUAUUGUCCAAAAUCCUGUACCUGUUUCGCACACUCCAAAUCCCUGUCCCUUUGAAGUUCCUUAUGUCUCUACAAACAACUUUGGUGAGGUUUAGCUGUCAAAACAAGAAACCGAGGGUGCCCAAGAGGCUCUUAUCUUGCAAAUUACAGGACGGGGGGCUUGGAUUCCCCAGGGUGAGGGAAUACUACAGGGCCACAUUCUCUUGUGUCACUCCCAGGCCUAUACCUCUCAAUGGACCUGGAAUCACAAGACUUGGGCAGAGCACACCUCUCACACUUUCUCUGGAUCCCCACCCUUCCCGCAUGGGAUGUUGCCUGCCACCAAACUGUUGAUGUCAGUAUGGGACACCAAUAGACAGAGUCUGUUCGCCCACCAAAUGGACCCAGGAACUCCACUGAAAACCCUACACAUACUUAACCCCACUUUUAACUACAAAAUAUGGGCAACAUACAACGUGACCCACGUACACCAAAUAACCCAACAGGGAGUACCCAGGAGCUUCCAGGACUUGAAGUCUCAAUAUCAUCUCCCACACAAUGCCAAAUUCUCGUAUUUACAUCUACACUACACUCUUAAGGAAGAGAAAAGACAAAGUACGAGAGGGAAAUCCCGUACACAUGACCCAGUUUGUGCACAGGUGCUAAAACAGAAGAAAAUACUUUAAUUCUGCUACACCACACUCAUAGAGGAGUCCCAGGACCCAGCUUGGCACUUUCAAAAAGAAUGGCACAAGGAUAUAGGGAAGGAGUUAACACCCCAGACAUGGAAAAGGACAUUUACAGCAUUUAGAGGCCUGGUGGACGUGUCCAAGGCUAACACCAUAUUGGGCACAGGUAGAGAAGAUGAUAUUAGAAAGCACUGGUGUGCAGUUCCCACUAACUAUAGAGACUUAUCUAUUGUACAUACUGCCACCGGACCUCUCGAAAUGCAAACUAGCGUCCCUUAUACUGGUAGCUGCGGCAACACUGAUAGCAAGAGUUUGGGGCGCCCUCCACAGGGGAACUGAUUGACUUAAUCUCCACAUGUAUGAAAGGUAUGCAACACUCCACUGGCAAACAGGGUCUACAAAGAGAGAGGUAACCAACAUGUAGCAGAUGUAUAGGGAGAGGAGCCUGAUAGCAUAGAUAUAAAUAGAGACAGCCUCCUCACUACCACAAAACAUAUUGGGGGAUCCAGCGCCUUGGCUGGGUCCAUAGGUAAAGAGCCCACUAGCAUGGAGCCGGAUGAUACAACAAUUGGCACAAGCACGGGUACAACUACAGGGACUAAAAUCCCACACACAAUAGGCUCACAUGGGUAGCGUGGUACACUAAAGAAUGCACAUUAUGUAAUAUAGAGUAACAAGUAGCAUGGUAACAAGUAGUAGAAUGGGAUGGCUUUAAGAGGAGCACCAAGAUGGCCGCCGUGACAUGUUCCUUGGGGACACCAAAAUGGCCGCCGCCAGCUAAAAGUGUAUAGUGCGAAUGAGGAUAUUAGUAGUUAAGGGAUAUAGCAGCCUGGGGAUGAUUAAAAGUGAUAAGGGGGCAAAAGGGGAGCAAUCCCUAGUAAAAACGAGCAUUUUUUAUGUUGAAAUUCAGUGUUUUAAAAUCCAAAAUGGCAGCUGUGACCCGGGUCACGUGAUUGGCUGGGUCACAUCGCCAUGGUUACAAGAAGAACCCCUUCAGUGAUUUACCUGAAGUCAGGUUUCGACUCCUUGUAAUUCACCCUGCAGCUGGGGAGAGGGAUCUGUUGUCUCCUCUCCCUGUGAGAUGCCCUGCUGCUGGGGAGGGAGACCGACCGUCUCCUCUCACGUUAGCUCCAGAUGUAGCUGGGGAUCUGGGCCAGCUGCCCAGCAUCCCUAUAGGGCCGGUGGAGAGACCUUGGUCCCAUCUCCACCUGCCAUCUGGAGGUCAUCCCAGAACCAGUCGCUGAGGUCCCCCACUUCAAUAGCUGGUAGGGAAGCAGGGGGUACCUCAGCCAGGUCUUCCCAGCUGUAGGGUGGUAGGUCUGGUUCUGCUUGUCUGGUAUGUUGGGGCUGCACGAAGCUGAGCAGGUGUUGGUAGUCCUGCUCCAGCUCUCACUCCCUUGCUACCAGGUGGGUCAUGUCUUUGCUCACCUUGCGGUCGUCAGCCCAAACAUACAUGCCCAUCUGGUAGUCGUAUAUGUCCCAAAACCUAGACUCCUCCAUGCUGCCGAGAUCAAUGUCCUCCUUCAAAGCAUCCCAUAGUAAACCAGGGCCAUCAUAAUCAUCACCUUCGGGUAAGUUGUGCUCAGUCGUCCAGGGGGUAUGUUGAAUGGUAUGCCACCAUAGGGCCUGCUAUGCGUUGUCUAGCCAAAUCUCUCGCCAUACCAGGAUCUCUAGUCUUGUCACCCACUCAUCCAGGGGCUGCUCUCCAAAUAGAUACAUCCGCAUUGCCACACGCUUCUGUAGCCACUGCUCAUCACUGGGAAGACUCUUGGCAUCUUCCAGGGCAUCAUACCAGACUUCAUUCCUGUCUGCAUCCCUGUAGUCCGCGGCCGCCUUCUCCUCCUCGUCAUGGAACGCUGUCCGAAAACUAGCCAAUUCCAUACUGCUGUAGCCAGGGGCUCUGUACGGAUACUAGCAUUGCCCUCAAUUAGAGUUCAUACGAUACUGGUGUCUCCGAGCUGCUUCUCCGAGCAUUAGGACACCAUCCCACCGCUGCCACCACUGUAACGGAUCGCCUGGCACCCCAACUGGGUACCUCCGUUGGACAGAUGCUCCUAGUCCUUCCCAAGGGCUCCAAGCACUCCACUAAACACCAUAACCACCGCAGACCCCACGAACCGCUGCAGCUUGGUUGGGGUGUUGCCGUCAUCCACCCACUCUGGACCCAAGACCAGGAUCCAGCUUCCAGUAGGUAGACCUCUCUUGUAAUCCAGAGAGCAGGAACAUGAACAGCUCUUACAAGAGCUAGUGAUUAUACUCUGGGGAGUAUAGUGAUUAUAGCAAUCCCCAGAGUGUAGUUCUCCAAUCCCCCUAACAUGAGCCAAGACUUCAUGAAGAGUAGAAUAAGUCUGACGCUUUAUUGGUACAGCUUUGCUUAUAUACAAUUCCUCAGGCCAGAGGCACACCCCCUGAACCUGAUGGAACACAGGCACACAAAGGACACAAACCAAUCAGAACAAUACAACAAUGUCCGACACUCCCACUUACAGCACACAAUGCCUCCCCUCUGCCCAGUGGCGUACUAAGGGGGGGGCGGGGGGGGCGGUCCGCCCCGGGUGCCAGCCUGGUGGGGGGGUGCCAUGACCAGCCCCCCCGCACCCCCCCCCAUGCUGCAGUCCAUGAGGGCGGACCGCACCGCCCGGGCGCAGCCUGAGGAGAGGCUGACAGGAGGGAACGCUCCUGUCAGCUCCCUCACUGCAGCAUGGUCCGACGGGUACAGAGAGCAGCUGUCUCCUGUACCCGGCCGGACUAACAGGAAGUGCACACUGAGUGUGCACCUCCUGUUAGUCCGGCCGGGUACAGGAAACAAAAGCUCCCUGUACCCGCGGACUAUACAGGGCUCGGCCACGCUACAGGGAGGUAGGGGGGAGGGGAGAAAGAAGGGGAGAGGGGGGGCAGAGAAGUCGGGGGGCAGAAAGAGAAAUAAGGGGUGAGAGAGGGGUGAGAAAGAGAAAUACAAGAGAGGGGUGAGAAAAUAGUCAAUGGGGGUGAGAAAGAGAGAUAAGGGGGGUGAGAGGGGUGAGAAAGAAAUACAAUAAGGGGGUGAGAAAGAGAAAUGGCAAGUGAGAGAGGGGUGAGAAAGAGAAAUAAGUGGGGGUGAGAGAGGGGUGAGAAAAAAAAGCAACAAGUGGGGGUGAGAAAGAGAAAUAUAAGUGAGAGAGAAAUAAGGGGGUGAGAAAGAGAAACAGGGGGUGAGAGAGGGGUGAGAAAGAGAAAUAAGGGGGAGAGAGGGUGAGAAAAGAAAUGAGAGAAGGUGAGAAAAUAAGGGGUGAGAGAGGGGGGUGAGAAAGAGAAAUGGAGGGGUGAGAAAGAGAAAUAAGGGGUGAGAAAGAGAAAUAAGGGUGAGGAAAGACAAAUAAGGGGUGAGAAAGAGAAAUAAGGGGGGGUGAGAGAGGGGUGAGAAAAAGAAAUAAGGGGGGGUGAGAGAGAGAUAAGGGGGGGUGAGAAAGAGAAAUGGGGGGGUGAGAAAGGAGGGGGGGUGAGAGAAAAUAGGGCGGGGGUGAGAGAGAAAUUAGGAGGGGGGUGAGAAAGAGAAAUUAGGAGGGGGGGAGAGAAAGAGAAAUUGGGAGGAGGAGAAGGAAAUUGGAGCGGGAGGAGAGAUUGACAUUCAUCACAUACACACAAUGCACCCCUUGCACACAGAAAACACACAGACACACAUACACAAGCAAUGCAACCAUUACACACAAUGCAUCCCUUACACACACAGAAACACACAAUGCAUUCAUUACACACACUUAAUGCACCCCUUACACACAUUCAAUGCAUCCCAUACAUACACAGAAACACACCUUGCAGUCCUUACACAUACAAACACAAUUUCACACAAUGCAUUCCUUACACACAUAUCAGGACAUCCCCUACACACUCCACCCCCUGUGAACAAACUCAUUGGUGGAACAUGAAGGUGGACCCUGGGACCCAGACCUUGAGCUGUGUAAAGGACCCCCAAAAAAUGGAGCUGCUUCCCGUUCUCCCAGAACAUUGAUUUUUGUGACCACAGUUACAAACCGCCUCCAGAGAGCCUGUUCUGCACCAGACCAGUGGAGCCAGACUGCAGCUAGAGCCCAUCAUCUGGUUGUAAGUAGGCAAUCUAGUAUAUUAUUCGUGGCACUAAGCUCUAAUUUACCUCACAUUAAAGAAACACUAUAGUCCCCAGAACCACUUCAGCUUAAUGUAGUGGUUCUGGUGUCUAUAACCUGUCCCUGCAGGCCUUUUAAUGUAAACACGGCGGCACUGCAGCACUGGCGUUAGUUAACAUGGCAAAUCAUAUGGCUGGGGCAUUGUGAUGUCACAUGGGGGGCGGCAAACUUUACUUUUGCCUAGGGCGGCAAAAAUCCUUGUACCGCCCUGGCUGGAGGGGGCUGUGUGAGCUGUGGCCGCACAGUGUCCCAUGGUAGUUAGGGUGCCGUGCGGCCAGUACAGCUCACUCAAGCAAACAGCUGAUAAACUGGCCGCACGGAGGAAAUGUGUAUGUGUGACUGUCUGCCUGUGACUGUGUGUGACUGUCUGCCUGUAACUGAGUGUGUGACUGUCUGUCUGUAACUGAGUGUGUGACUGUCUGUCUGUAACUGAGUGUGUGACUGUCUGUCUGUAACUGAGUGUGUGACUGUCUGCCUGUAAAUGUGUGUGUGGGGCUGCAGGGAUUUGUAGAAGGGGCAGGACAGAGGUUUUGUAGGAGGGGCAGGGCAGGACAAAGGUUUUGUAGGAGGGGCUGACAGCGGUUUUGCAAAGUUUACAAAUUGUAAAAAUAAAAGAAAUAAAACCUUUAACAUUUUUUACAGGUUUUUUUUUUUUUUGGGGGGGGGAGGGGGGUGGGGGGGUGCCAAGCACAGGAUCCGCCCCGGGUGCCAAAUGCUCUAGGUACGCCCCUGCCUCUGCCUGUGAUACAAUUAACAAAGACAAUGGGCUAACUCAAUUAACUCUAAGCAGAAAAAAACAUACAUUUUUACAAACCCCAAAAAGUACCCCAAAAUACAACAUAUCCCCACAAAAGUCACAUCGGUUCAUGGGUUCAGGAAUUUCCUUGAAGUCUUAUUUUUGCCCUACUGUGCACAUGGUCCCAUGCCCAAAACAGUUCCAUACACUCGACGACAAAACACCACUGGACAAUUUAAGAUGGCCACCGCCACAUGUUUGAAUCUGUUCCAGUUAAAAGUCCAAGGGGCAGAAACAGUACUUUUGAACAUGGGUUAUCACAGGGCCCAUAGUCCCAGGGUAGGAGGCUGGCAAACAGGUCCCUCCAAAAACCAGUGGCAAAGUGGAUUUUGUCACAGUGGGUAUUGUGUGGAUGGGCUACAUAGGCUUAAGAGGAGCAGUGAGUGGUGUGUGAAUGGGUUUGGAGAGCAGUGGCUGGUUUGUGUGUUGUUGUAGCCAGUUUGUGAAAUGUUGUUUGUUAAUGGCAUGUCGGGAGCAUGUGUGGAUGGUAUGUAGGGAGCUAUGGCGUAUGUGUGAAUAAAUUAUUGGGGAAAACUGCUGAUAGCAUAAAGUACAUUCAGGAGAAAGGUAAGGGCUUAUGUGGAUGGCAGCUUGGGUAAAGUCCAAAACUCAGUAUUGUUGUUGUUAGAUUCAAGGUUGUUGUCAGUCUGACCCCAUAAAAUUGGGUUUCUUAACUCUUUUGGAUCAACAGAAGAAACAGAAAUGUGUGAAAGGUUGAACUCAAUGAAUUUGAGGGUUUUUAUCAACAUAGAUUGCUAUGUAAUAAAAAAAUAUAUGAUACAUACUCUUCUUUCUGUAAUGGUGGUCAGUCCUUGUGUUUGGCUUAAUUAUCCAUUAAUUCACUGUCCAAAAUCAGCCUAAUAUCCACCUCAGUACCAUAUCACCUCAUGUACCAUGUCAACAAAGACAUUGUGACAAACUCCCCUUUUCGUUUGCCACGAGUUCCUGGAGGAGCCUGCUUGCCAGCCUCCUGCCUACAGAACUAUAUGUCGUCUGCUUACUGGGAGGAGAUAUAUAUAUAUAUAUAUAUAUAUAUAUAUAUAUAUAUAUAUAUAUAUAUAUAUAUAUAUAUAUAUAUCAGGGUCCUGAUACAAUUACAAAAUGUUACAGGACCCUGCUCAAAUUAGCUCACAGUCUAAAGCAGUGAUUCCCAAAGCAUUCCUCAUGACCCAGAAACAGCCCAGGUUUUGUCAGUAUCUCCACUGGAAUAAAAAAGGGAAAUACAUAAAUUCUGGAAUGUUGGUGGGCCCUAAGGAUUGGUUUGGGAACCACUGGUCUAGAAGAAAGAGCUUACAGUAUGAAGGGUUAUCCACUAAGGUAAGAAUUCAAAUGUAAGACGAAAAUAGCUGAAUUGGAAAAAUCGUCCAAGUCAGCUAUGCUUCCACUUCAGCUGCUGUGUCCUUAAAUUUGAAAUUAACUUUGAAUCCACUUUGAAUACCCAUGCUAGGGAAUUUUUUUUCACAACAAUUCUUUUCAACCACAAGAUGGCAGUGUAUCUCCAGAUAAAAAUACAAAUGGUGCCUGAAAAUUAUCUUUAUGUUUUUCUUAAAAGGUAGCUGUCACUUCUCUAGAUUUUACACUACAGACUAAAACAUAAAGGUUUUUUUCCCAUGAGAAGCUCUGUUUUCUCUUAAAUCGAUGUUAAAGAUUUUGCAUAUUUAAUCACAAUCCAAAAGAGCAAAAUCAGAAACAUUUGAAUCUCAUCUUCUUUUUAUGCAUCCGCUAUGCUGGCUGCCAGGAAUAAAGGAGAUAGUUUGUAACACAAUCAGAGGGAGCAAAGAUGCAGGCAUCCAGUUGCAGGAUAAAGAAGUAUGCAUUCAAUAUUACUUUUCACAUGUCACAAUUAUAUAUUUAACCAAAAGUGUUUUUCAGGAUACUUGUUAAGGUAAAUAUAGGACAUAAUUUUCAUAAGAGCAAAUAAAUAAAAAGAUACGUAUAACGUUCCAAAUACAAAUGUGUUCAGACACCUUACUGGUGUGGGAUGAUUACUUUUUUCAACUUAAAUUAAUAUAUCAUAUCGUAAUUACCCAUGAAGUGAUUAUCAUUUAUUCUCAUUGAAUUGGUUCUAGUGCCUUGAGUGUCCUGUACCUUCAUUCAGUAUUGAACCAUUUUUGUGCAGUUAAUUGUAACACUUAAUAAGAGUCCCUGGUCACCCACAGCCCACCCCCACUGGGUGUAUGGCUGAGGCAAAGACUACAUACUUCCUUGUAGCCAUGCCAAUUUAUACCAGCAAUCGACAUUGUGAUGGGCUGAAAGUGGUCAGUUGACACUUUCAACCAAGAACAGCAACAAACAGCAGCCCAGGCUAAUGCUUCCUUAUUAGCUCAAGAUGCACAAAAGGGAUGGACGGCUGAGGACUUUCAUUUAGCAUUAAAAUAAAAAUGGUUGAACACUGAAUGAAAGGAUGGUGCCAGAGGACUCCAGACACUAUAACCACUUCAAUGAGAUGAAGCAGUUACGGAGCCUAAAGUUUCCAUUUAAUCCUUAAUUACACCUACACUAUAACACUAUUCAAUAUUUUUCAAUUGCACUUUUGACAUGAUCGCUUCAGUGAAAAAAGGCCCUAUAGUUUGCCUUAAAGGGUUUCUCCAAACCUUUUUUGUAUUAAUUAGAAUAAUGUAAAAUAAGUUUUACUUACCUUUAUCCAGCUACAGACAAAGCUUCCGCUGCUGCAUAGCACCUCCCCGUCUGACAUCACUUCGAUACCCAAUCAAAUUUAAUUUAAUGGCCUCAGAGUGCAUGCAUGUGCUCUGAGCCAGAAAGACAAGGGGGAAAGAGGAGGGAGGUGAAAAAAUACAUUAGUGGGGGUGUCGCUGACCGAUGAGCAAUAUGGACGUCUAAGCUAUUGCUCCUGUAUUUGGGCUCCAACUUUAUCAAACUAAUUGAAAUGGAGUCUGCACACAAUGAUAUCGCAAAUCAUGUAGAAGCUCUAAAACACAAGGUUGACCUUCUGGAAACAAGAAUGGUGGAUGCCAAAGAUAGGGCACGGGGGAACAACCUACGCCUAAGGGGUCCCAGAAUCGUGCACCCUCCAAGUGUAUGUGCGAGGCCUACUACACACAUAUGCUCCUUGGAUUCUGUCAGACAUGCUUUUAGUGGACAGAGUCCAUCAUGUCCCCAAGCCACACUACUUACCACCCUGGGACAUUAUACUGAGAGCACACUAAUUCCAUGUUAGGAAGUAAGGAAAUAGUCUUGAAGUCCACCAAGAACAGAUCCUCACCGCAUGAAGAUUACCUAAUGGUCCCCUUAUUAGCUGACCUUUCUGCUGAGACCCUCAGGCAUCGAAAGGCCUUCUACCCAGUAACAGAAGCGCUACGGGACCAGUGCAUUUGUUACGAAUGGGUGUUUCUGAUGAAACUCAUUAUCACUCACAUUGGCGGGAUCAAGAUAACCAACACCCCAGAAGAAGGCCUACAACUGCUGACCGAAUGGGGCAUCUCAGCACGGAAAUUACUGAAAGCCCCUCCCAGCAAACUAAAUGAUGCUGUCUAGAGACUCCAAGCUGCUGCAAGUAUUACCUAUUAUACAAAAAUGCUAUGAUUAGGUUACCAUACCCAUCUGCAUGUUUACUACCUGCUAGAUAUAUAGUGUUACUGCAGGACCUAUAAGGUUCAGAUGCAACUUAACAGCUGCGAACAUAACCUGCUAUGUUUAGGUUUUUCUCCUUCCUUUUUUCUUGUAGUAUAGUGAGAUAUUGUUAUGAGGAACUUCUCACAGGCAGAUUACACUGCAUCAAUGAGAUGGUAUAUAGAUGCCUUAAAUAAUACCCUAUUGCAAGCACUGCUGGCUCAUAUUUUGCCAUGCGGCCAGCAUAUGUGACCUCAGGGCCAUUCCCUCCACGCUGUAGAACGAGAAAAGAGAGAAAAGAAAAAAAAAUAUUAUUAAAUCAAACCCGACAUCACAAGUGCAGGAACAGGCUGUAACCUUACUUAUAUUUGGCAAAGCGAUGGUGGUCUUGGCAAAAACUGUAAAUGUAAAGCCUACUAUUACAGAUAGUCAUUACUGUUUGUCAUACUGUAUUGCUAUGUUCAACUGUUUUAUGUUGUUCCCCAUGUUCACUAAUCCCACCAAACAUCAUAUGACCUGUGACAAGUAGGUUUUCUAUACCUUACCACACUUGCUUUGGAUCCCAACAGCACUACUACAGGAGACACUUUAACUCUCCUCUCCCCAAUUGUGCGUCUGUUCAGCACCAAGACCCGUAUACGAGUCUCCUUGUACAUACUUUGGUUUACUGUUGUAAUGCUGAUUUGUUUGCUCCCAAUCUUCCAUCCUACCACUAGUCUAUGCUCUUCUCAGACAAAACCCAUGGGAAAUUUAUAUAGGUAUCUCUUAAAUGCUAUACCAACACCCAUAAAGGAAACUGCCACUGGGACGACACCUGAAUGGCCGUUGCAAACACAAAUGGAACUGCUUCCCACGCCUCCAAUCAUCUCCUUGAACUCUAAAUGAAAAUUAUGCAAAUAUACUCACACAAUGUCCGAGGGUUAGAAACCCCACACAAACGACAAAUCCUCUUAAAAGACACAAAAACGCAAGAAAGUGGACAUCAUAUGUGUCCAAGAAAUGCAAUUUGUAACAAAUAGGAUACUGCAGUUCGGCCUCAGGGACUACCCCACGCAAUACCAUGCAACUUACACAUCCAAAUGUUGUUGUCUCCUUUUUAUUUCACAACUCUCCCUCUCUUUCUAACUCCUUACCAUAAAAAAGUUGGCCAAGGUAGAUUUCUGAUACUGCACUGUACAAUAAACAAUUUACUCUAUCUACUGGUGGGGUUUUAUAGUCUAAACAAUCACCAAAGAAAUUUUCUACACAAGAUUACCACAAAUGAACACAGACCAGAUAAUCCUUUGCGGAGAUCUCAACCAUACACUUGACUCACACUCAGAUACCACCCUGCCGUGCACGCAAGCAAGGCCGCCGCGAGCGGCGCGGGGGGCAGGGGACCUGAAAUAAGCUUCAAGGGAAAACGAGCAUUGAAGGCCCUAACAAGACGAGGGGCGUUCAAAUCAGAGGCAGAUACCCAGGAAUGCUCCUCCGAGCCGUAACCUUUCCAGUGAACCAGGUACUGUAAGGCACCCCUGAAAAAGUGGGAGUCGAGAAGGGACUGCACCUCGUACUCCUCGUUAGAGUUGGCACAGACAGGGCCGGAGCGCCUAACAGGCCUCGAAUACCGGUUACACAGGAGGGGCUUCAGAAGGGACGUGUGAAACGUAUUUUGGAUGCGCAGGGAUGGAGGCAAGUCCAGAGUGUAAGAGACAGGAUUAACCCUGCUCAAGACUUUAUAAGGCCCAAUAUAUUUCACAACUUCUUGGAGGAGACACGGAGGCGUAUGUUUUUCAUGGACAGCCAUACUCUGUCACCCAGCACAUAAGCGGGAGCCGCAGCCCUAUGCGAUCAGCAAACUUUUUCUGGGAUUCCACAGCACAUGUUAGAGCAAGGUGGACCCAGUCCCACAUCUCCUGAAGUGAGGCUAGGUGUUUGUCCAAAGUGGGUAUUCCCUUGUCGGGGAAUACACCGGGAAGGAUGCUAGGUUGUACACUGUAAGCCACAUGAAAAGGACUCAAGCCAGUGGAGGCAUUGGAGACCGUGUUCCUGGCAAAUUCAGUCCACGGGAGAAGACAGGACCAAUUAUCUUGAUGCUCAUUCAUGAAACAACAUGAAUAUAGUUCCAGUGAUUCGUUUGCUCUUUUAGCAGCCCCAUUUGACUGUGGGUGAUAGGAUGGGGAAAAGGACAAGUAUAUACCCAUUUCAGUACAGAAACCCCUCCAGAAUCGCGAGAUGAACCGAGGGCUCCUGUCAGAGACAAUAUCGAUGGGUAUGCUAUGAAGACGGAAUAACUCUUUUGCGAAGACGUCCACUAAUUGCGCAGCAGAAGGAAGCUAUCUUAGAGAACCUAUCGGUCACCAUCAGAAUAACUGUAUGACCCUCUGAGGGGGGAAGGUCCACUAUAAAAUCUAUGGACAGGUGCGUCCAAUGCGUCUUGGGCACCGAAAGUGGCAUAAGGAGACCAGGUGGCUUGCUUGUUGAAAACUUGGCAUGAGUACAACUUUGACAAGCCAUAACGUACUCCUUGACGUCCCUCCUAACAGAAGGCCACCAGAAAUUUCUUGUUAUGUUAUCAUAAGUUUUUGUGAUGCCUGGGUGUCCCGCUGUUUUGGACCUAUGAAACAAUAUCAUUACUUUUUUCCUGUCCCUUCCAUGUACAAACAAUAAACCUGUAGGUGUUUAAGGUGGUGCUUGGUUUUGAUAUCUCUUCCCCUUUUCUAAAAAGAGGAAGGAGAUAAUUAAGUGUGUAGCUGCAAUAAUGUUGGUGGAAGGGACUAUGGGUUCUGGAGGGGAGGGGUCGACCUCCAGUGGUUCGUGUUGCCUGGAUAUAGCAUCUUCCUUAAUUUUGCGGUAUUCAGAUCUGUAUGUUAUGGUAUACUGGAAGCGAGACAGAAAUAAGGACCACCUAGCCUGGCGACAGUGGCGUAUACCGCGGUUGCAGGGGUCGCAGCUGUGACCGGACCCCUGCGACCGGGUACCAGCUGACACGUUUUGCGGCCCCGGCCCACGCGGCAAACUGCCGGGGCCGCAUUUUAAAAGUUGUUGUCAGGGCCACCCGAUGGACAUGGAUUGUAAGGGGGCCCGGUCAGCGCUGGGCGCUUUAUAACCACGACCGGGCUCCCUGUGAUGACAUCACUGCUGGGAGGAAGUGACAGAGAGUACCCGCGGGAGGAAGCAGAAAGGAGGAGGGAGUCAGAGUAGGAACUCUGACCCCCCUUAGGCUGAGCCACCACUGGACCCCAGGGAAAUUCACAAAUGGUAGGAAACAUUUUGUGUAUGUGUGUAUGUGUCUCUGUAUGUGUGUAUCUGUAUGUAUGUGUGUGUCUUUGUCUCUGCAUGUGUGUGUGUGUGUCUCUGUAUGUGUGUAUCUGUAUGUUUGUGUGUGUGUCUCUGUAUGUAGGAAGGCUGAACUUAAUGGACGCAAGUCUCUUUUCAGCUAUGUAACUAUGUGUGUAUCUGUAUGUAUGUAUGUAUGUGUGUGUCUGUGUGUGUGUAUGUGUGUGUCUGUGUCUCUGUAUGUGUCUGUGUAUGUAUGUGUGUGUCUGUGUCUCUGUGUGUGUCUCUGUAUGUAUGUGUGUGUAUCUGUAUGUAUGUGUGUGUGUGUGUCUCUGUAUGUGUGUGUGUGUGUCUAUGUGUGUAUGUAUGUGUGUGUCUGUUUUGUGUGUGUCUCUGUAUUUGUGUGUGUGUGUAUCUGUAUGUAUGUAUUUGUGUCUGUGUCUCUGUGUGUGUAUGUGUGUGUCUGUGUCUCUGUAUGUGUGUGUGUAUGUAUGUGUGUGUCUGUGUCUCUGUGUGUGUCUCUGUAUGUAUGUGUGUGUAUCUGUAUGUAUGUGUGUUGUCUCUGUAUGUGUGUGUAUGUGUCUAUGUGUGUGUAUGUAUGUGUGUGUGUCUGUUUUCUGUGUGUCUCUGUAUUUGUGUGUGUCUGUGUCUCUGUAUGUAUGUAUGUGUCUGUAUGUGCAUGUCUCUGUAUGUAUGUGUCUGUGUGUGUGUAUGUAUGUGUCUGUCGGGGAGGUGUGUUUGUGUCUGUAUGUAUGUGUCGGGGGUCCCAUGGUCAGGGGGGAGAGGGUCAGGGUAGGGGGGAGAGAUAAGGGGGGCCCACAGAUCUGUUUCGCACCGGGGCCCCAUGGAUUGUGUGGUCGCCACUGCCUGGCGAGAAGACAGAUGUCUGGCCUAUGUAGGAGAGGUUCUUGUGGUCUGUAAUCACCAGUAUAGGGUGUCUGGAACCUUCCAGUAGGUGUCUCUACUCUUUAAAUGCCAAAACUAUGGCCAGCAAUUCCCUGUACCCCACGUCAUUGUUUUUCUUUGCAUCAGACAGCUUCUUGGAGAAAAAACAACAUGGGUGAAGAGGAUCGUUGUGGGUUUUUCUCUGAGAAAGUAUUGCACCAACACCUGACUCAGACGCAUCAACUAUGACAAUAAAGGGCAGCGAAGGGUCAGGGUGGUGCAAAACAGGAGCUGACGUAAACGCUUCUUUAAGUGUUUCGAAAGACUUAAGGGCUUCAGAACUUCAAACAUGGGGAUUACCCCUUCUUUGGUCAUCUUGGUUAUUUGGGCUACUACAGAGGAGAAAUUCUUUACGAAUUUUCUGUAGUAGUUUGCGAAACCCACAAAUCUUUGUAUGGCCUUAAGUCCCUGUGGAAGCGGCCAAUUCUUGAUGGCUUCCGUUCUCUUAGGGUCCAUACUGAAUCCCUUCUCAGAUAUGAUGUACCCCAAGAACUGCACAGAGGUCUGAUCAAAGAGGCACUUCUCUAGCUAAAUGAUUCAAUAUUAUUCAAUAUGUGUUACUCUCAGUAGAUACAAGGUGCACCAUUUAUCUAGAACAAUUCUACCUACUCUUUCUAUACUUUCAGCUUGCACUCAAAUAUCAUGCAGACUACAAGUGGAUGAUACUAAUUAGUGAACUUUACUCUCAAUACUCCCUUUCAAUGAUACCAGAUAUACUAUUAUGCUAGUGAUUUUGAACUCAUAAUAUUCUAUUCACAUUUAUAUGAUGGAUAAUUGAUAUUACAGUCUUACAAUGGUUUUGCUUUGUGCCGAUUGUUGUGGUCACGUGAUCGGCACUUUGGGCAUUCCUAUUGACCCACCAGGAGCGGGGGGCAGAUGCAUCUGACGCCUCUUCAGCAAGGUGCUGGACAAGAUGCACCCAAUUGGUCCGCUACGGUUAAUGGGCGGGCAUUAAUUUAUAUACUACAGAUAAUGCGCUUUAUUAUCAUUUUCUACCUGGACACACCUAGGAUUUAGUUUAUGUUUUUGAAACUAUUAUACUCAAUUCACAUUUUCCUGAUGGAUAUUUGGUCUUAAAAUUGUUUUGUUUUGUUGCAUGAGGUCACGUGCACUUUGGGCAUUCCUAUUGGCUCACCAGGAGUAGUGGGCAGAUACAUCUGACACCUCCUCAGCAAGGUGCAGGACGUCAUGUUGACGUGCCUCAAUAUGACUCUGCCCCUUCUACAUGACCACUGGACAAAACAAGCUAAUGGACAGACUUUGGUCACGCCCCCUUGUGAUUCCAUGGGAUGACUGCAGGGAAGUUUGUGUAGGUUCACUCCCCUUGGCUACCCAUUGGAUUAUAAUGAAUAAAUAGGUGGGCAUACCAUACGCCCACUACACGCUGCGUUCAUCACAGCUGAUUGCUCUCACAUGAGGUAGUCCCAUAUAAAUUUAUCAUUUUUCAUUUCUCUGUCUACCCCCGACGAAGGUGCAAGUUGCCUAGCUAUGGGGGUUUAAUUCACUCCACUUUUAUAUAAUUCUCAUUUUGAUUUUAUCAUAUUAUUGUUUGCUAUGACUUAAUUUAGCCUAUCUUCUGUUUACUCUUAUUCUCCUUAUGCCUAUCUAGUAAGAUUACAGGGGAGAGAGUCUGUGUCUUAUUCUGUUUUACUUUUUGUAUUUAUUCUGUAUCUAUUCAAUUUGGAUGUCAUCCAGCCUCAGGGUGACUCCCAUACCUGAUAUUCCUGCUGGACGGGUCGUUGCUGCUGCUCGCCUGGAGUAUUUCCGGGGUCCCUGGGAAGUCCAAGGGGUUUUGGACGCAACUCGACACCUCUUGGCGGAUGCAUGGGCUCCUGGUACUAGACAAUCAUAUGGGACUGCUUGGAGAGCUUGUGCUGGCUGGUGCCUGGCUCAGAACAUGGAUCCCGUUUUGGCACCAGGAACUGCAAUCCUUCAAUUCCUCACUUUGUUAUUUGAGGCUGGUCAUGCGUACAGAUCGGCCAUUUCCUCAGCUCAUCAGGGCUUUGACGGCUGUCCCGCAGGCCAACACCCUUUGGUGUGCCGCUUGCUUUGGGGCUCAGGACUGUCACGCCCUCCUAGGCCUUGAUACUCUUCUACUUAGGAUGUAUCCUGCGUUUUGUUGCUUUUUACUUCCUGGCUUCCUUACUCCGACCUCUCCUUACAACAAUUGUUGGCCAAAUUGGUCCCCCUUUUUUGCCUCAUUUCAUGCAAACAGGUUUCUGUUGUUAGUGCACUGGAUUACGAUGCUCGGUCUUUCACUCCGGAAGGAGUGACAUUUAAUAUCUCCAGACACACUAAGAUGGCUAUUUGGUCGGUAUCUUAUCCGAGUUUUCCAGUUACUCCGGCAUUGUGCUCGGUGGCUUGUUUGCAGGAAUAUGAGCUUCGGACAAGUGCACAUCAUUUGGUUUCGUCCCCACAGCUUUUUUUUCUUGGUUCAUCAACCGUUUCCCCCUGUGUCCAGUACUACCUUGGCUUGCUGGGUGAAAUGGGUGAUGUCGCUGGCUGGUGUGGAUAUGUCCAUUUUUAGCGCCCAUUCUUCCCGGGGGGCAUCAGCCACAUCUAUGAUGGUUUCGGGGUGCACGUGUGGAAGACUUGAUGAGGAUGGCGGACUGGUCCUGCGAGUCCAAUAUCCGCAAAUUUUAUUUUCGACCAGCCCCUCACGUUUUUUCUUUGGUUAUUGAUCAGCUUUAAACUUGCAAUAUAAGCCUCUGUGUCUUGACAUAAAAUGACAUGAUUUUGCUAUUUCAUGACGAAAAGUCUUGAUUUUAUGAAAGUUCCACUCUUCUACAUUUAUCUCACUUGAUUUUCCUCCCUGUUGACUUUCUCUCUCAUAUAGGAUUCCAGGAUGUGGUAGGUAUUUGUGGUGCGCACUGUGUUUAUUUAACCAUUUAUGCUCACCAGGGCCAGAUUAAGAGCCCAGUGGGCCUGGUGCUGACAAUUAUGAUGGGCCUAAUUACAGAAUCAUAUCGACCAAAAACAGUAAAACACUCCCAAGCAUCAUGUAUCUGAUGGAGAAAAACAAAACAGCAGCUAUAAGAAAACACAUACCCUAGGCUAAUCUCUCUCUAAUUUAUGUUUUCAUCUUUCAAGUAAAUCCAUAACCACUAACAGCAGUGUCCAGUCAAGCAGGAAGUCAAUGGGCAUGGUAAAAGGGUGUGCCACUGACACAAAUCACAUAACCUGCCAAAAGGGGCGAACAUGCCCAAAAAGAGGAUAUGUCUGCUCAAAGAAUUAGAAGGCCAGCCUGGCAUGAAUGCAUGUCAGGCUGCCUGCCAAUCAUGCAGCUGGCCAACUAAGGGCAUACUAUGCAGACAGCACCCUGAGCUUGGCAUAAAUGCAUCUAAUGAUGCGCUCACUCAAUGCUUUCUAAGGACUGUUCCCUAGCACUGGCUGGUCCACUUGUCUCCUUACCUUCUUACUAGCAGGCAGAAGGUCCUGGUAUAUGGUCUGGGACAGAGAAAAGCUGUAUGUAGUGAGUGUAGAAGAAAGGGAACAUGUCACAGUGUUAGAGAGACCAAAGUCAGCAUUACCACAAGCAUGAAUUCAUGACCCUAUAGUGUUAACACCACCAUCUAGCCCCCCUGGGCCCCUCAUGCCUCCAUAAAUAUAGCAAAAUCCUACUAUAUUCAAGCCUGAAGCUGUAACUCUGCAUGCUGUUAGACUCAUAAAAACAAGCAGUCUGCUGACAUCAUUAGAAGUGGUGGCCUGAUCCAAUCACAGUGCUUCCCCAUAGGAUUGGCUGAGACUGACAAAGAGGCAGAUCAGGGUCAGAGCCAGCAUGAUUCAAACACAGCCCUGGCCAAUCAGCAUCUCCUUAUAUAGAUGAAUUUAAUUAAUGAAUCUCUAUGAGGAAAGUUCAGUGUCUGCAUGCAGAGGGAGGAGACACUGAAUGUUUGGAUGCAUUUUAGGCAGCCAUGGCCCAGGAAGGAUCUCUAACAGUCAUCUAAGGAGUGGUCAGUGAAGUUAUCACUAGGAUGUAAUGUAAACACAGCAUUUUCUCUGAAAAGACCAUGCUUACAGCAAAAAGCCUGAUGGUAAUGAUUCUACUCACGAGAACAAAUUCAAUAAGCUGUAGUUGUUCUGGUGACCAUAGUGUCCCUUUAACUAUAUUCAUUGUCAGCCAGUCCACACAAGUUUUGUUCCCAUACAUCCCUCUUAAGUUUCCAUACUUAAGUAAGAGUAUGUGAAAAGUAGUUAGGGUUGCCACCUUUAUUGGAAAAACAUACCGGCCUUACUAAUUUAUGUGUGGGUGACAUCACAUGAUGUAAAUCACAAGGAGUGACAAAAGAGAAAAUGCUGUAAAAUCACCAAAAAACUACUUAGUUUAAAUCUGCUGUAAAGAUGGAUUCCUCCCAGUGCCCCCAUGUCUCCCAGUGCCCUCAUGAUUCAGUGCCCCCAUGUGUCGAUUACUCCAGGUCUCAGUGUUCCUAUGUAUCAGUGUCUCAGUGCCCCAUGUCUCCCAGUGUCCCUUAGUGUCGUGUUCCCAGGUCUCCCAGUGAUUCUAUGUAUCAGUGUCUCAAUGCCCUAUGUCUCCCUGUGUCCCCAUGUAUCCCAGGGUUCCCAUGUCACUUGGACACUAGGAAGACGGGGAGACCUAGGGACACGGAGACACCAGUGACACUGGGAGACUAGGGGACUCUGGCUGGGACACAUGGGCACAAUGGGAAAAUAGGGGACACUUGAAGACAUGGGGACACAGACACCAGGGACAAAGAUACUAGAGACACUGGCUGUGGGACAUGGGGACAUUGAGACAUGGGGGUACUGGGAGACAUGGGGACACUGAGACACCAGGGCCACAGACACUAGGGACACUAGUUUGGGGACAUUGUGACACUUGAGGCACUGAGAGACAUGGAGGCACUAGGAGACAUGGGGACAGUGAGACACUGGCAGACUGGGGCACUGGGAGACUAGAGGUCACUGGGAGACUAGGGGACACUGAGACACCAGGGACACUGGAUGGGAGACAUGGGGACACUGUGUCCCCAUGUGUCUGUGUCAUAAUGUCUCCCAAUGUCCCUUAGUGUCUCAGUGUCCCCAUGUCUCCCUGCUGCCUUUCCCCAUCCCUUACUUCCCUGAGCUGUAAGCUGUCUCUACAGGGUGGGAGUUGCUGUCUGGACUCUCUGUAGCUGCACCCCUGCAGAUCAGUGAGUAUAGAUAGGCAGGGAGGGAUAUGCUGGAACUUCCUAUCCCUGCCUGUCUCCACAUACAGCGACCCCUACUGGCCAGUGCUGGUAUUGCAUAGUAAUUUCCAUUUAUACUGAGAAAAAUACCAGCAUUUAUAUUGCCAAUAUCACUGCAAUAUUGGCACCAGCCAGGCAGCCUCAAAUACUGGCUGUGCCAAUAAAAUAAAAGCCAGGUGGAAUCCCUAAGAGAAGUGUGUGGAAAAAAAAAAUGUAAAAAAUAAUAUUUUUUUUUUUUUUAAAUCAAAGGGCCUAUUCCAUGGGCCUGGGCCUGGGCCUGGAGCUGCAGCUCCAUCAGCCCCUAUGUUAAUCCGGCCCUGAUGCUCACAUGUGACUCAGCUAUGCUUUAUGUUUUGUCAGGUGGUUUCUUGCUAUGUGGGUACUGUGUUCUUCCAUCUAUCAAUAUGAUGUGUCUUGGCAUGCGCACUCUGGUUCAAGUACCGAUUUAACCCUUGGGCUCCUGUUUUUUUGUGUUUUCACAGCUUGAUUCAGUGCUGCUUGGGGGUCCUCACUUAUUCCCACAAGGCUCCAACUCAUUUGCUGGAUGUCUAUGGAUUGUCCUCUACGUUGGUGAUUUUCUGAUUCUGUCAUUGAUUGGUCCGAGUUCGUUUAUUGUUCCUGGUUGGAGUCCGGCUGGAUUUCGGGACAGUUGUUGGUUGGACUUAUUCAUUGGUUCCUGUUUAAUGUUUGCUAUUGUGUUGCAUCUCCAAAGAAACAGGAAAUAUGUGGGGAGGUGCUGACUAUUAUACUGGGAUUUGGUAUGGG
rnacentral:lncRNA from 1 species